rnacentral:lncRNA from 1 species
CCACCGGUCGCAAACCACUGUUUCAGUCUUACCUGCAAAAGAUGGCCGAGGAGAAGCACCACCACCACCUCUUCCACCACCACAAGGAGGAGAAGCCCGCGGAGGAGGUGAUAUACUCCGAGACAGCCUACUCCGGCGGCGAUGACUACGCCUCCGGCUACACCGAGACUGUCGUCGCCGAGUCGGCUUCCGAUGAGUACGAGAAGUACAAGAAGGAAGAGAAGCAUCACAAGCACAAGGAGCACCUCGGCGAGAUGGGCGCUGUCGCCGCCGGUGCCUUUGCUCUGGUAAUUCGUCUUGAUCAUAGGUUUCGGUUCUGCUAAUGAUCACCUACAAACAAUUUAAGUUGACAUUAGAACACAUGGCGAUGCAACAGUACGAGAAGCACGAGGCGAAGAAGGACCCCGAUCACGCCCACAAGCACAAGAUCGAGGAGGAGAUCGCUGCGGCGGUGGCGGUUGGCAGCGGAGGCUAUGCCUUCCACGAGCACCAUGAGAAGAAGGACGCCAAGAACGAGGCGGAGGAAGCGAGCGGAAAGAAGCAUCACCACCACCUCUUUUAGGGGCUGCCCUCUUUGAUCGGCUUCCAUGUUGUGCACCAAAUAAGUUCAGGCUGGCUUGUCAUGAUGGCCUUGGCUGCUACAAUAAUUGGGUGCAUGUGUUAUGUGAAAUAGAUUUGUGUUGAGUGUGGGAUGCUUGGUACUUUUGUUUUUUUUUCUUUUAUCCUUGUAUCAAAAACCCUUAAAAAUAAGAAAAAAGGCUUCUUAGAAAUGUUCUUUCUAAGAUCUUAUAAUGAACAUCUUUUCCUUUUUUUUUCACUUAAAUAACAAAAUAUAAAAUUUAAUCUCCACUUAAUUUUCAUAUUUGAAGAAGUUUUGCUGAGUAAAUGCAGUUUCAGCUCUCAUUGACUUUGAGAAACAAAAGCUGACAAGUGCCUGUCCCAAAUCUUAUCACCAGUCACACUGAAGAAUGCAGGUUUCAUGGAGAAAAUAAAUAAAAGCAGGAUUGAUUAUGACUCAUCACUCUCAAAAGUUUCUUUCUUUCUCCUAUAUUAAUUAUUAUCCCAGUCUGUGUCGGGACUGAAAGUUUUUGGAUCAGUGGGAUCUCCCAUAUUGAAGUAUCUUCUAGAUGAAUUUUGAAUGAGAUUAUACUGAUUUUUGAUCCUAUUGUAAUCUUAUCAAAAAUCAAUCACCUCAUUCAAAAUAAAUCUAAUUCGAUCUUAUUUUUUUAUUCUUUUUAUCAAAAUUCAUUCUAUAAAAUGGAUUCUUAUAAUUCAAAACCAUGAAAAUGAGGGACUGAUGAUUAUUCUUACAGUCCAUGAAAAAAGAAAGUAAAGUGUCAUGCAACACAAAACCCGAAAACAGUGCCUCGCGAGUGUGGAUCUCUUAUCGGGUUCGGCCCGUUAACCUGUUAGGAUCCCGACUCGACUCGACUCGAAGCUGAACUAGACUUAGAGCUUCUAUUGGAGAUUCUACUGAUCGACUUUGGUAUCCAGUAAAAAGCUACCCUUCUUUCCGAUCACUACCAACAACACCCUACUAAACUCUACUUUCUGUUCCUUUUUACUUCCCGCAACUAAUCAUGUCCUGCUUGUCUACUGUUGACUUGCUCAGAGCUCCAUCUUGAUCUCAUUCUUUGCCUUGGGAUUCUCUCAUUGACAAAACCUGGGAAUAGGAAAUACUAUUUGCUUCGAAUAAUAAUGAAUUUCUAUGAAAUGAAAGACUUUCACGGGCGUCCGAUAUCGUUGAGAAAUAGAACAAGUGUUCUCGAACGAUUUCCUGCAAUUCGCGUAUGGAAUGAGUCCAAAAUCUCGAUCUAUACGAAUGGGUUUUUUUUGUGUUUCUUUCGAUAGUUUUUUUUUGUUUCCAAAGGAUAGCUGAAUAGCCUUACUCUAUAGUUACUAUAUGAAAAUAAUAUCGAGUAUGAUAUAAAGUGAUUUGUUAGACAUAAUUAAUGAGCACUAAUCUCAAUAUGAUGAUAAGGCAUCUCUUUAGUAGUUCGCCCCAUAUAAGGUUCGUGAAGAUAAUAAGGACAUGAACAAUCGAUGAUAAUGAUGUUGACGAUCGAUAGAUCGAGGAGUAACACUUUAUACAUCCUACCCAAGAUUCAUAUUACCAAAUUCAAACAUUCACAAUCUCGCAUAUUAUCGAAAGGAUAGAAGAAAUGAAAAAGAUAGUUGAUAACUUUAAGUAGAUGUGUCGAUGCCUUAUGAUGUCGACAUCAUAUUAUAAAUGAUCUUAUAGCUAAUAGAUGUAUAGUCAUAAUUGGUAAUUUUUUUAGUUUGAUCAUUCUUCCGUUUUAGAAUUAUAGAUCAAUAAUAACGAUAGUCGCAGACAUAUAUUGUCAAUGAUGAUAAGGUAAUAAUUAUUAUCAUAUUCAUACAUCAAUUACACAUGGUUUUCUAGUACAAUAUAUUAUGGGAGCAAUUACAAGAUUGCAUCUAACAAACCUAACAUAUUGAAACAUAACUUUAUUUACAGGUACAUAUCGAUAUAUAGACACAUGAUAUAUCGUUAUUAGUACGUAUCAGUCCGACGUCUAAUUGGAUGGAUCAUCAUGACAUAGCCAAAUAUUGCUGGCAUGUCCAUCCUCAUUCGUUUCUAUGGCAAAGCAGGCAUAAUUUGUAUCCAUUUGUUUGCUGCUGCAUUACGAGUUUGUGACAUCAUAAGUGUCUCAAUGUCAACCAAGUCGGCUCUUUCACAACCCUUUCUAGGAGACAACCAGCUUUAUUUUUUGUGAGUUGUGAUCCAAAAUGUUUCCAGUGGAAUGCAUAAAUCUUCUUUCCAUAAUCACAUCUUGUAACUCUGAUUUACUCAAUUUGGAUAUUAGCUAAAUUUGUCCUCAGUUAACCUUUGGAAGUCAUUGCAAAUAUAAGCAGGAUGAAUAUUAGACAUCAUUUGACAAGGAAGAACAAACCAAUGCAAAUGUCACUUCAUCAACAAAAAUUGGAUUUGUGAAGAUACGUGCUCAUACUGAGGCCGCAGAAACACAAGGAUGAUCCUAAGAAAUGAUUACAAGUUGCAUUUCAUCGAGAUGAAACAAAACUUAUCUUGGCAAAUCAAUUACCUUCGUCACUUAUUGGAAAAAAAAAAAAAGGAUGUUCGAUCUGACUUGAUGACAAGAAAUGCAACAGAAACAUCUGUAGAUUUAUCGAAGUUCUUGACAAAAUAAUAGCUAAGAAUUAUCAGCUAUGACCUGAGGGAUGUAAAAACUGCUUAAAAUUAAUUUGACGCCAGUUCUGUCAGAUCUCAUCGCUUUGGUUCACCCAUUGACUUGCCCUCGAAGAACUCACUUAGCAUUCGCUCGAGAUCUUCUGGAGUGUAUCUAAUGUACUUCAGUGGGUUCUUACCAUUCUCAACCAACGGCCUGACAGAUGAAAAUGCAAAUCUAAGAACCACAAUAGAACAAAGAAGUGGAAGAGUAGAAAUUUUAAGGGUAAAAGCAAAGUUUUUCACAGUACAUAAUGAAAAAUGAAUUUCCGGCAUGUGUCUAUGAUAAAUCUCAAACUAAGACUCCAACCAAACUUUAAUUAUCUCAGCACUUCACUAGUUCUACAGCAACAAUUUUUUCCAGCAUAUAGAUUGUUCCUUGAGGCUUUUUAAGCCUAUCCUAAUGCUUAAAUCAACAUGUCCAAAUUGGAUUCUGAAUAUCUUGCAAGAAAGAGCUAAAGAUACAGAUAGAGUUAUUGACAUGAGAAAUAGUAGAAAUUGAUUACUUAAAAAUAGAAUAUUAUGGGUUCAAUGAAGCAUACCCAAAACGUUUGAUGUAUGAUCUAUAAGCUGGUAAUAAAACUUCAGCAAUUGCAAGUCUCAGAUACUCGCGCAGCUCCUGAUCAGGUACUGUCCAUUGAGACUGUCUUUGAUGAAGCUCCUCAAACUGUACGUUAAAGGACUUGAACCUACUAUGAAAAAAGGGAAGUUUCAUUUUGCAUAUUUAUUAUACACGAAUAUAGAAUGAGAGCUUUGCAUAGACCUCUCUUUUAUUGAUGCUCUGGAAACUCCACUGUUGUUGGCUCCUUCACUUCCCAAGGCUGAACUGCUACCUGAUGGAGUCAAACCUUGGAUAGAUAGUGUCUGCAAAAUCUGGAGAAUACACUAAAUUAGUUCAAACUUGAGAAAAAGUAAAGCUAGCAUGUGACAAUGAUAUGUUGCACCACCAGGACAGUAAAUAAUCUAGUAUAUCUGCAUUGUGGCUCAUCAUGUUACAGUAUUCAAUGACCUAGACAGAGAGGCCAAUAUCUACAUAUAUCAAGUCCAAUAAGCAAGAGAAAGAAACAAGGUGGAGGAAAUGUUAUAUAGCUAAAUUCUCUGCAUUCUCCAGGUCUUUUACAUAUUAUACACUCUAAUUUUAUUUCCUUUCCCAUAAAAUAUUACUUUGUUUGAAAAAUAUUCAUGGUAAGUUUAUUCAUCUAUUUGUGUUUAUCUCCUUAUGCUGAAUUAAUUUUUCCAAAGUGAUUGACUAUUUAAUUUGAAUAAAAUAUAUAACCACAUAAGCUUUAGCAUUAUAAACUACCAACAUUGAGUACAUACCAUGGUUUGCAGUACCGAUCCGUACCGCCCGGUACGGGCGGUACGUACCGGUCCGUGAGACUUCCGGUACGCGGACCAUAUGUUACCGUUCCGACACUGUAGCAGUACUGUAGCGUACCGCUCGGUACACCUGGGUGUACCGAGCGGUAUACCGUACCGUACCGGUACCGAGCCCAGAUCGAAACUCCGGUACGAUACGGUAUUGCGAACCUUGGUACAUACACUAGGCAUGAUAAUAUAAUAUGAAGUGGAAGAUAUUGUAAUGAUUUGUUCUAUUGUUUCUUCACCUUCUGAAUAUGUUUAUGUAGCCAUUUCAGCACACAGAAAAACUCCAUGUUGCCUGGCACAAUCCAGUACAGGAUCUCUACCUAAGGAAAGGGUAGAUGAAAUGGCACAAUCCAGUACAGGAUCUCUACUUUUCCCUGAAAGAACUUUAUAGCAAGGUGGCUUUAUCAAUAGCUUCAAAGGAAAUGACAUAUAACAGGUCUUCCCAUUGCCAAAACCUCAGACUCCCACUAGUUCAUCAACCUUGAUCAAGGAACCCCUAAAAUAAAAGGUACUAUUGCAGGCAAUAUCGGCAGGGUUAGGUUAGUUUUAUCCACCUCUUUUGUGUUUCCUACCUCUACCUGUUGAUUUUCAUUAUUUCUUUUGCACUAGAACAAUGUCAUCACAACACAUUCCAAUAGCAAAUACAAAUCUAUUUGCCGACCAGCUUAUAAAGUGCCAUGGAUGGGUUCAAGUAGCUGUCUCUGUUUCUGUACCAUAUCUAAAAACUUGAAUUAGUUUGUACCGAUCCUGUUAACAUACAUAUGUAUUUAUUUGACUCAGAUAAGUCAUCAUGAUGCAUGAAAUUGAGGGAGAGCCCUCUAUCCUACCUGCCUUUUCUCUCUCUCUUUUUCUUGUAAGAAAAAUACAAGUUGAUUCACGAGUGGGGGCACCAACAAACAAGCAUUGACUAAACUAGCCAAAAUCAACUGUUUUCAGAUGGAAUAAGCUAAACCUUACUGUUGUUUCUAACCAAAUAUGACAGAUUUUCAGUGAUAAGGCCAAGAACUGAAAGUCCAGAGAGCAGGACUGACCAACCUAGAUCUGGAUUUAAUUGGUAUCAUCUUAUCUAGCAAACUUAGAUAUUAUUAAUGGUUAACUUCAUCAUGUUAACAUACUUCUCUGUUUUUUCAUAUUUUAUUUUGUAUCACCUAUUCAUUUUUACUCAUGAACUCAACAUUGUGUUGUUGUGUUAAUUAUUCAUGACUGUCUUAUAUCUUUGCCAUUAACUUUUGGAUGCUCAUUUUAUACAAUUUUUGGAUGUCUUACAUCACAAUAUGAUGUAAAAAUUCUUUAGAAACUAGUAUUAGCUCAUAGGUCAGUACAAAGACAUGUUGUCUAACAAAUAAUAUUAUCUGAAAUUCUGAAUCAUCUUUUGCCUAUUCUGGAAAAACAUAUAUUGUAUCAAUUUUAUAUCAUUUGAUACAUAAGAUGCAAACUUUUUUGUUUCAAAAAAUGAGUUCCAACCAUAGGAAAUUAGAAAAGUUAUCAUGUGCUUUUUCCAUUAUCUUACAUAAGAAUAUCAAAGAAAGUAGGCAAGUUGUAGAAUAAUAGGAAAUCAAAGUUUUAAAUACAUAGUAUGUAUUGGCUGGUUCUUAUCGAUGCAACCAAGUAGCAGCGUCAGAAUAUACAGUUAGAUGCUGAUACAGUACUGUUCAUUUCUUUUUUUUAUUUUUUUUAUUAAUGAUACUAAGCAGUACAUGUUGAUGUACUGCCUAGUGUACAUUACUAGUCUGCUGAUAGGCUACUAAAACCAUUAUUGGACCAGUAUUUAAAAUGUUAUAACAAUCAAUCAGCUAAUUAAAAAAUUGAGAAAUGCAGCUAAGAACUACGUAUAAACUGAAACAAACAUGUAAACAAGAAUAGUGUGAUUAGCAUGCUUUCAAACUAUGGGAUAGACCUUUGCCCAAGCAACCCUUUUGUACUGGUUUGCAUUUUGCUGCACAAUCCUUCGGUGUCUUUGUACCCAGUCAUCACCCAAUAUAUCCUUUGCUUCUGACCUGAAAUCAGCAAAGUGACCUUGGUUUUUCUACUCCAUGGCAUGCUGUAAUAUCUGAACAAAUAUAAUCUUCAUACCUGCUUAGAGAUCUCACCAUAUAGUGUAUGUUGUUCAUAAGAAAUAGGUAAGUUAGAGCAGGAUCUUUGUACUGCUUGGAUUUGUUAUCAAGAUUACUCUGUAGAGCUUGCAUAAUCCGCAUUGUUACAAUUGCCAACUGAGACUCUGUUUUAUCUCCAGUUACACAUUCCUGAAAGAGUUGCUUCAAUGUUGACUGAUAGCUGGCAAAAGUUUAAUGAAUAGAUCCAUUAGAGAAUAUAUGAAUACAUCAAGAGAAAAGGUAAAAAUGGCAACUAUAUUCAUAGACAGUUAAACAAAAAUAUUAGUAGAAUGACCAGCUCAAGGGGCACAUGUGUUUGAUGCUAAGGAACUUGCAUCAACUAAAAAGAAUCAAAAUUACCAAUAUGGAUUUUGGUGCUAGUUCAUAUUUCAUAUACGUUGGUAAGUGAAUCUGGAUUCAGAACUCACUCAAACAAAAAUUUCACGUAGUUAAUCACAUAGCUAGUAAGAGGGUGGACAGUUCCAUCAAGAACAGUUGUCUUUGUGGCAUCCUUUUCAACUGCCUCUUCAAAGUCCCCAAAGGUUUCUUCAGCUGUCUGGGCUAAGCGCUUUGCCAAGCUCAAUGUGGACUCUCUCAUCUCAGAACAAGCUUUUCCUUCAAAAAUUGUCUCAAUCUGGCAAAUUGUUAAAUAAUUCUAUUGAUAUCAUCUUCAAGAUUCAUAACUAAAAUCAUAAGUCGAAAAACCAAAAAUUGAGGACAUACAUGCAUGUAUAGAUGCAAAAGUGAGAGGGACUGGCUGUCUUUUGAGAUGAAAAAGGUAGUGAUUGAAUGUUAUUGAUCCUAUUACUAUAUCAUUUAGAAACAAUUAAACAAGUGCAUAACAAUAGUGGUGCAGUUUUCCAUCAAAUUACAAGUUGUAAAAUAGUAUGCCAAAGUUCAGCAUGUAAAAGUUAAGCAAUGAACCACUGACAUGUUUUUACCUUUUUAAGACAACUUGUAACAUUUGAAUUUUGAAAGACAUGAGAGUCUUGUGACGGACUGAUGAAUAACAUAAUCUUCCAAACAUGUUAAUCUACUCAGAGUAACUUUUUAGGCAGGCCAUAUUAUCAGAUGCACACCAAAAUAAAGAUGAUUAAAAUGUAUUAGAGUCAAACUAACAUGAGAUUUGGGUUCUCUAUACCUUUAUUAGGGACUCGAAGAAGAAUAUUUUAGCAUACCUCUACAUGAAGUUCAUGCAAUACUUCAUACAUGUCUAGAAGCACAAAUAGCUUCUCUGGCGAUCGCUUACUUUUGGCUACAGCAUCUCCAAAACUAAGUAGCACUGCCACACUACUUGCGGUUACUUCAGCAAAACAUUGAUCUUUAUUAAGAGUAGUGCCAUCAAAGACUUGAUCACAAAUUUUUCGUUCACCAGCAAAUAGUAGUUUAACCUGUUGAAUACAGAAUCAAACUGAUAGGAAAUGAGUUAUAUCUACCAUAACAAAUCUUAUGUAAAUCCUUACUGCAAUCCGCAUAUAGUGAAUCCAAUUCUGAAUCUUGGUCUCUAAGGCCUCCCACUGCAUUUUCUGCACAUCGUCUUUAUUGAGCUUCUCAACUCCCAAUUUUCGGAGGCUCGAUUCUAAAGUUGAAGCACGGGCAUCCCUGGUUGACAAGAAACCAUCCUCUUAAGAUAACUGCCAUAUGAAAAUGUUUAGAAACUAUUGACAUCAACCAGUGACAUCAUAGACAUCCCUGUCUAGUUGAGACUGGAAACCAUAAUCUAAUUGUUUUUACCUACACCAAAAUGAACCUUACAAGCAUUUGAACCAAAAAACACUAAAUGGGAACUAAUAGACAAGUGAAGAGCGAAAAUCAAUUUGAGGUUAGUAAUAAGUGUCCACAAACAAAUAUGAUUGCAGACACAAGGAUGUUUUUAUUAAACCAACCAUAAGUAUAUCAGCAAGCGUUAGAUACAUGACUUAUAUCUUCUCAUAUGCUGGUCAAUGGAGAAGUUUAUGAGGAACAGAAUCUUUUACCGGAACUAAGCUGAACUGUUGGAAUUAUUCAUACAUGUUUGAAUUGAAUUGAAAAAGUUGGACUAUAUAUAUAUUAGGUUUGGCCUAUUGCCUAGAAACCUUUUUGAGUUGAAUUAAUGUCUAACCUAAUGUAUGUUAACCUUGAUCAAUUUGAUCCAGACUCAUAAUUAUUCAUUUCUGACAUGGUAUUGGAGCCAUGUUGAUGAAAAUUUGAAUGAGUCAAAAAAGAAAAAAAAAGUUAAGCCAAAUAAACUUGAUAGCCAAGGUCAAGCUCAUUUCUGACAUGGCAUUAGAGUUAUGUAGACAAAGAUUUGAAUGAGCCAAAAAUGAAAAGGAAAAUUUAAGCCAAAAUGUGCUUGAAAGCCAAGGUCAAGCCAUCAUUUAAUCAAUUGAAGAAGAAAUCGCAUUGCGACAGGUUAAUACAGGUGAGUGAAUCACAUUACACAAAUAUUUAUGUAUGUGAGAUAUGAACUAAGAUUGAAUCCUAGACAAUCAAUGCCACACAUGAAUAAGGAAAGAUUUUGGAAAUAUUCAUAUGUGAGAUGAAAAGAGAUGGGAUAGUCCCACAUCACUAAGGAUUGAUUGAGUCAAAUUGCAUAUAUUGACCCAUAACAUAAAAGCUUAAGCUUUUUGGUUAAAAUGAUGUUUUACCUGAUGUAUGUUAACCUUGAUCAAUGAAUAGUCAACUUAUGUCCAUCGUUAUUUGAAUUCAAACAAGAACGACUAUAGUAUUAUUCAGCAAGCAAUCUCAGGGUAAAAACUGUCCGCCAAUCCCUUUAGCUUAGCAUCUAAAGCACAGCUCCAAAAGUCUUCAGCAUGAAGAGAGGAUGAAAUCAUUUCCCUUUCUUAGAGCAAAGCUAUGACUAAUGAGCAAUUUACAAUAUAAUACAUAUUAAAUUUCCACAGAGGAUUUAUUAUAACACUUUAAGAUCAAAUCAUCAAGUUAUUCACAUCAGUGACAAGUUUUUGAAUCAAGGCACUACAUCUUUAAAUAUGAACUGAAAUAAUAGCUGACUACAGUGGAAGAUCUCUGGGAAAAAAAAUUGGCCAUAUUGAAUAUAAGACUUCUGCAACUAUCUGUUUUUCUUCCAGUAUUUCAAAAUCCAAAUAUGUAAUUAGAGAAACUUCUAGUUAUUGCUUAUUAUGUUUUCAGAAAAUAUGAUAUAUAGAUUAAGUGGUAUGUGUUGUAGUUCUACUUGGUCUGAAAUUUUCUGUAAGAAACUUUAUGAAUUUGAAUUUGGCUUAAGGCCCACUUAGAAGAAGUAAAGUCACUUCAUAAUCUCAUAACAACAUUGUUUGAGAUAUCAGGACAUUAUGCUAAAAAUAAAAACUAUGGCCUCUUUUUAUCAAUCUAAAAGUAUAGAAACAUUUCCACAUAUAGCAUAGGUAUAUAACAUUUUCAAUCUUUUGAGGGACCAUGGCCCUCUCUAGGCCCAUAAAGGUCCAAUCUUGGCUAACUGUUUAGAAAAUGUGAGGAAACUGGAGAGCAAGUACUUUGAGCUUGUGUGGUCAUUGUAACUUCAUCUUUUGCAUACUUACAAGUUACAACCCCAAAGUGACAGACCCUGAUAUGAGAGAAUAGGUCCACACAAUUGGCCUCUGCUUGCUCUGCUUUCCGCCGUCCAAUUGAUAGAGACCUUCUGAUGCUUUUUGGUGAGUGGAAAUAGGUUCUCUCAUCAUAAACUCUAAGAUCAGGAAAACCUAAGUCCAUUUUGAUGUUGGUUGGAGCAAUCCUCUUAGUAAGUGACUAUCAUUAAAAUUAUUCGAGGUACAAAAAUAAAGAGUAUUGUAAUAAUUUUAGGCCACCUUUCAAGAAAUAAUAUGGAAAAGCUGAAACUGAGCAAAGUAAGCAAGAACAUAUAAUGACCUAUUUGUGUCCUUAAUAUGCCAACUUAUUAAAAACACAUCCAUCAUUUGGGUUGUAAUACUUAGUGUCAUCAUUAGUGGCAUGAAGGAAUUGACAAAUAGAAAUUUGGACCAUUGCUAAAAGAGAAUACCAUAUGCAUGCAUUAGGAAUACAUGUCCAAUAAAUAUGCAAGUAAGUACUAGGUUUUAAAGAUAAUCUGAUCAUGAUCUGAAAUCGUAUCUGCUCUUUUAAACUAUGAAAUGAUGAGCUAUGUCAAUCUAAUGCCCAUGAAUUGGUUGCUACAUUUGAAAUUUUGGUCCAAAUCAGUGGAUUCAGAUCCAUCCAGUGCAGGUAAAUUGAUCUUGCAAGGAGCAGUCUGUAUCAACCAUCCUGAGGUGGUUUACCAUCAUUUAUGCCAAUCUCAGUAUCGUAGUAUAAACAAUGAGACUACAGAGACCUUCACUCUUGAAUUUCACAUCUUUGUAGUAUGAACUGUCCUUCUUGGACUUUGCUUUUCGUAUAUGACUUCAAAUAUGAAACAUGUAGCAGCAUAUGGAGCACCUGUGGCCAGACAAGAAACUGUAUUUCCAUUGAUGGGGAUCAACUUUGACCACAGGUUAUCUGCUAUAGUAAUUUUCCUAUUGACAUAAUAUUUAUUAUUUAUUUAUAUUUUGAUUUAUUGGGUGAGAUCAUGCUCCAAACAUGUUUGUGGUUUUAUAAUGCUCCUACCUGUAACCUUUUCUUUUUAAUUUUCUGGUUACAGAUUUUUGGGUGAAAACACUAAUUCUACAAUGCCAAUGCCAAUCAGAUCUUACCUAAUCCUAGUCCCAUAUCCAUGGUCAUAUCAAAAUAAAUCUUGAACCUUCAAAGUUUGAACCUUGAUAUCAAUUAAGAAAAAGCUAUUGGUCUAUUAGUUGCCCACUUCUGGAUUUCGACUUCCUCUGGUGCUCCAAAUUUAUUGUCCUGCGUAGCCCUUUUACAGUAGUCCUUUGUUUUUCUUUUUAUUUUACAGUAAAUAACUAGAGGGGAAGUCCCAACAAUUCUUUGAUAUGUAAGCUUUUUUUCAACAUAACCAGUAGAUGAGGCAUUCUUCAAAUAUAUUGCCAAAUUCAUCUUUUAGAAUUUUUUGUGUACAUAGUUGAUCACAAGAUGUGCCACAGAAAAUGCCUUGUCAUACUUUUAAUUAAUAUGCAUUUCGUUAUUGUUCAUAACCACAAUACUGAUGCAACCACAGAUGUACAGCCAUAACAUAGUUGGCUAGACCCCAAAGCAUGUCUUGAUGAAAAAAUACAACUAUAAUCCAAGAAUAUUCCUUUUAUAAUUUCCAUACAUCAAUUGAUACCAGACUAGAUGAACAAUUAGUUAGGAGCAUGACUACUUUUGGAAAAAAUAUAUAUAUUCCGUGAUUAAUUGUACCUGUAAAUCUUUGAACACUGUUGCUGGUGUCCAGCUUGAACCAAUUGAUUUGCUAAGUCAUGCAACAAGGGAAGAACCCUUGGAGGAAUCAGAGUUGGUGUCUUGUAUACAGCAGCCUCCAAGCUUCUGGCUUGAUGCUCAGGCUUACCACCAUCAGCUUGGUGCCCAGACGUCUCUGAGUGUGGUUGCAAGGAUUUAGGAAGACAGUCAAAUAAGCGGUCGGGCUCAAUUGGUUUACUGAAAUCAAACAGUGGGAAAGACUCAAUGAACAAAGAUAAACCUUUAAAUGUAGGCCAGAUGGACAAUUGAAUUGUCCACUAUGCAAAUCUUUAAAUAUUAAUUACAAAAUAUUGAUAUUUAUUCCGAAACAUCAAUUUAACAUCCCAAUGAAGCAUAUCGGGACAGAAAAAACUCUUUCCAACAAGCAAAGUGAGUGAUUUGAAGAGAUUACAUCUGCGUAGGCUGGUAUUUAGUCCAGUAAACUGCAGUGGUCUUUUUUGCUUUUGAGAAAAAAUUAAAGAAAAUCUAAUGAUGUACAGAGGAGGGUAAAACAGAAUAACUCAAAAUGUUAGCCAUGGUUCCCAUGUUGAAGUAAAAUGGAUAUGUUGCAUUCUAUGUGCUCAAGUUUAGGCCUAUCUUGCAUGCUGUACUUGAGUUUAGGCCUCUCACAAAUUAUAUACAUAAUCUUGUUACAAUUACUAUUUUAAAUAAUAUCAAUAUCCAGUAAUUGUUAUAAUAUUGCAGUGCUGAAUUUGUUUUUCCAUAUUAUAUGUUAAAAAUCUUGAGUUUGGUCAUAUGUGUGGCUACAAAUGACUUGUCAUAUUAUUGUGAUGCCAUAAAUGAGCUACUAGAGACCAUAAUGUCUAAAUUUUAGACUGUAAAACCAUAACGUCUAAAUGUUGUUUUAGACCCCAAAACCAUAUUGGCUAAUAGGAGAAAAUAAGUCUAUUUCAGUUUGCAUUUGUUAGAUGGCAUCAGUACCUUUUCCUAUGAUUCCCACUCCUUAUUAGUUGUGGUGUUCAAAGAUUCUCUGCUAUCUUCCUCCACAAUAUCUUCUAAAAUCAAGCUCACAAGGGGAUCCUAGGGAGUUUUCUAUGUUAGGCUCUCAGAUGUGAAUUCUAGUAUGUAUCUUCAUGAACGUAACAUCCAUCUCACCAAUGUUCAUCCAACAGGUUUCAUAUAUUCUUCUUUCAUUCCCUAUUCUUCAAAGUUUUGGCUAUUAACAAGCACAAUGCAUUGAUAAUCUCACAAAUUACUUCUUCAAUUUGUCAUUAAUGCACCAUUAAUUUUUCAUUUAAAAAUUGAACAGCGGAAAAGAUAAAAUCAAUAUAACAUCUGGCAGGUAGCUUUACAAAUCCUGAAGCAGUUUAGUUAUGAGCAUCUCUUCAUGAUUCCAUCCAGCACAACUACUACCAAAAGAUUCUUUCCAAUUGUACCUUUCUGACAAUUUACAGGCUUGAGGCUGUAAAGCAAAACAGAUGUUUCCAUAUUCUAAGGCCCAUAGAAGGUACAAGAAAAAUAGAUAGCCAAAAUUGCAUUUCAAAGUUGGUAGCCAAGAAGUCCUUACUUCUAGAAAGGCCUACCUUGACAUAUUUAACAGUCAAAGUUUUACAUUUUAGCUCAACUAGCUCACUUGAGGAUCCUAGGGAGUCUUCUAUGCUAGGCUCUCAGAUGUGAAUUCUAGUAUGUAUCUUCAUGAAUGUAACAUCCAUCUCACCAAAUGUUCGUACAAUAGGUUUCAUAUAUAUUCUUCUUUCAUUCCUCAAUGGACUAUUCUUCAAAGUUUUGGCUAUUAACAAGCACAAUGCAUUGAUAAUCUCACAAAUUACUUCUUCAAUUUGUCAUUAAUGCACCAUUAAUUUUUCAUUUAAAAAUUGAACAGCGGAAAAGAUAAAAUCAAUAUAACAUCUAGCAGGUAGCUUUACAAAUCCUGAAGCAGUUUAGUUAUGAGCAUCUCUUCAUGAUUCCAUCCCGGACAACUACUACCAAAAGAUUCUUUCCAAUUGUACCUUUCUGACAAUUUACAGGCUUGAGGCUGUAAAGCAAAACAGGUGUUUCCAUAUUCUAAGGCCCAUAGAAGGUACAAGAAAAAUAGAUAGCCAAAAUUGCUUUUCAAAGUUGGUAGCCAAGAAGUCCUUACUUCUAGAAAGGCCUACCUUGACAGAUUUAACAGUCAAAGUUUUACAUUUUAGCUCAACUAGCUCACUUGAGGAUCCUAGGGAUUCUUCUAUCCUAGGGUCUCAGAUGUGAAUUCUAGUAUGUAUCUUCAUGAAUGUAACAUCCAUCUCACCAAAUGUUCGUCCAAUAGGUUUCAUAUAUUCUUCUUUCAUUCCUCAAUGGACUAUUAUUCAAAGUUUUGGCUAUUAACAAGCACAAUGCAUUGAUAAUCUCACAAAUGACUUCUUCAAUUUGUCAUGAAUGCACCAUUAAUUUUUCAUUUAAAAAUUGAACAGCGGAAAAGAUAAAAUCAAUAUAACACCAGGUAACUCUACAAAUCCUAAAGCAGUUUAGUUAUGAGCAUCUCUUCAUGAUUCCAUCCAGUACAACUACUACCAAAAGAUUCUUUCCAAUUGUAACUCUCUGACAAUUUACAGGCUUGAGGCUGUAAAGCAAAACAGGUGUUUCCAUAUUCUAAGACCCAUAGAAGGUACAAGGAAAACAAUUAGCCAAAAUUGCAUUUGAAAGUUGGUAGCCAAGAAGUCCUUCUAGAAAGACCUACCUUGACAGAUUUAACAGUCUAUGUUUUACAUUUUAACUGAACUUCCAGUGUUGAUUUCCGGAAAACAUAUCAAGUUUUGUGAUGAAGCAACAAAUUAAUUAUUUAAAUAAAAUAAUCUGCAUUUUAUAUACUAUAAGCAAAAGUCUUUGGGGGCCAAAAGUUUUAUGAAACACCAAAUAACAUGCUUUCACAUCGAACAACCAGGGACGUAGCCGGUUCUGUUCUUAGAACUUUGCAUUUAAGAACUAGGACUUGUGGAGAAAAUUUUGCAGACUACCUUAUAUAUUGCAGCCAUCUAAUUUGAUGGAUGUACAAUCAAAAUCCAAUCUGAUAUCAUAUUAGAUAUUUUUCUGACCAUCUAAGCACAAUAGGAAGACAUUUUCACCCAUCAUCACAAAUGGAUAGAAUAAGAUAUAAAUAAAAAAGAAUAAUGGAUGUUAAACUAAUUGCUGCUUCACGAAAAAAAGUUUUCAAGUAUAUGCAGACAUCAUGUAGAGAAAAAGAAAAUAUAGCCAAGAAGCCUAAUCCAGGGGAGGAACCUGUAGGUUGCUAAGAGUUGUCUGAAUUCCUCCUCCAGCUUCAGGAUGGCCUUUGCUAGCAAGCUGUUUAUGUGGUUCAUCACUCCAUCACAGCCCUUGAAGCUUUUAUUUGAGCUAAAAUGCUGGACGGUACUUUUCAACAUAUCAACUGCUUCUAGGUACCCUUCUAGAUCCUCAUGUGGUCCCCGUAAUAUUGUAGCCUCAGCCUUUACAAGCAACAUAAUAUGGCAGCAACAUGAAUAGAAAUGAAGAAAAAGGCGUAUUCCAGAUUUCUGAUAACUAAUAUUCACCAAGCAAGUAACUCAGACAAAUCCAUUUGAUUUCCUAGCAGAAGAUUAUAUAUCAAUUAAAUUACAGAAAGUAUGACACAGAGAAAAAGAAACCUAGGCAAUGAUUCUCUAAAUUUAUCAAACUCAACCAAUGAAAGAUAAUGUUAUUCUAGAUCACCACAAGAGAGGGACAACAUUGAGAAACAAAAAGCAGAUGUGAAGAAAUUGGAGUUAAAUAAACAGACAAUAGGACUGAGAGAAUCAUUACAUUCACCUCUACCUUUUUUAUUACAAAAAGGAGAUAGAAGCUCUCGAACUAGUGACAGGCCUGACAGCUCUUUUCCUAUGUCAGCUAAAUAAGCCUAAUAAAUUAGUUCUGUAUAACUUACAGUGUCCAAUGUAUUUACCUUUAACAAACUUAACCACCUCACUAAUUAACAGUCAAUACAAAAUCAACUAAUGAACAAAUAAGGUCAGACAGGUAGGUCAAUCUUGGGACUGCCAACAUAAUGGCUGUGUAUAAUGAAUUUACUAGUAAUAACAGGCAUUUCACAUUUCAUAUAGACCAUAAACCUAAACUGUGUACUCACAAAAUGUGACUGGAAAGCAAAUUAUCUCUAACCUAUCUAGAAUAUAUCAUAUUUUAGUUCCUUGAUCAAAAGGUCAAUGAAUUAGGCCUUCUUGUGUGGAAAAUCAUGUGAAUAGCUUACUUCAAUUUGCUCGAUAGAAGCUUAUUCAAGGUUUGGCCUUUUUAUAUUUCAUUCAUUUUAACUUAGGAACACACCAAUAAACUAAAUUCUUUAGAACAUACCAUCAGAUACAUUUCAUUCAUAUGAUAUUCCAAUAUGUAGAUUCAGUUACCUUUAAUAGAUAAAACAUUAUCUAAUGCAUAAUAGUUACUGACAUUGUCAUACUCUUAAUACCAAUCAAACUAUUGAAAGAACACUUUCACAAAACGAUGACCAUGUACAAUAUUUGUUUUAGACAAGUAAGCCAUUAAUGAAAAUCAUACCUUAUUUUAGUUUUCAAGGCUAUUAAACUUGCCAUAGCUUUUGCUAAACCACUGAAAACUUCACAGUCGUAGAAAUACAAGUACUCUGCCAUGACAAUGUGGUCCCAACAAACACUCUUCUUACUUCAGCCUGUUGGUGUUUUUGUAACAAUUAUUGUUGUGAAAUCUUGANNNNNNNNNNNNNNNNNNNNAUAUAUAUAUAUAUAUAUAUAUAUAUAUAUAUAUAUAUGUAUAUACGUAUAAGUAUAUAUGUAUGUAUAUAUAUAUAUACAUAUAUAUAUAUACACACAUAUAUAUAUAUAUAUAUAUAUAUAUAUAUACACACACACACAGACACAUAUAUAUAUAUAUAUAUAUGUAUGUAUGUAUAUAUAUGUAUAUAUAUAUAUAUAUAUAUACACACAUAUAUAUAUAUAGUGGAUAUCCAAAAUAAGCCUCUGGUUAUAACAAAUUUAAGGGAUAAAAUUGGAUCUAAGUUUGCUCCUAAUAAGCACAUGUUGAAGAGGGAUGAUGUUUCUAGGGAAAUCAAAAUUUUAACACAUUAGGAAAUAUGCAUAUAAAAAGAACAAUUCAUCAAAGACAUUUUCUGUUUUGGAAAUGAGAAAUGUACUCGUACAUACAAACGCAUUAGGAGCAUGAAGAAUGGUGACAUUAUGUAGCGUGCAAACCUGGCGUGAGAGAUCAAACUGUGUCAGGAUGACCUCAGUCGUCUUCAACGUCUUGUCGAUGUUCUCAUGAGCCAUUCUAAUGGCGUGCGUCUUAACCUGCGACACAGAUUAAAAAAUGACCCAUGAAGCCAUUAUCGAAAGUCAUUAAACAUUUUUAGGAGCUCAAAGUAUCAAACUGAGCCAACAAGAAGAACGAAUUGAAGCUGGAAACCAUGCAAGGAUCCCGAAAUCAAGAAGUUUCAGGUACAAUGGGGGGCAAGCAGAGGGGGGGGACCUGGGUGGGGCGCAUGGCGGCCUCGAGUGCCGAGAGGCGGUGGUCGAAGGAACCGAGGAUGGUCACCAUGCUCUCCGUGUUGCUCUGGCUCUUCUGCAGCGAUUCCCUCAGCAAGCUCGCCCUCCUCGAAAGCGUGUCGAUCGCCUGGGGCACCGCCAUUGCUCGAUCUCGCUCUCCUCUUCUUCCUCGUUCUUCUUCUCUCUCUCCCACCCACCCCCCUCUUUCCGUUGUUGGCUCGUUGGCCGUUUGGUUGGUAUGGCACCAUCCAUUUCGUCGGACUCUCUCUUUUAUAUAUAUGUCCUUCCCAUAUUACAAAAUUACAUACAUUUUUAUAUAAUUAUAAUUAUAAUGUCAAAAACAUAAUUUUAAGAGUAUAUAUAUAUAUAUAUAUAUAUAUAUAUAUAUAUAUAUAUAUAUAUAUAAUAAAUUCUCACAAUAAAUCAUAAGUUUGAGAAUAUCCUAGAUAAUGACUUAAAAAUCCUCUUAGAAUAUUUUUAGUGUGUGAAAAGUUUAUUUUACGCUAACAAAUUUAAAAAAUUAAAAUUUUUCGAUCUCAUGCCGACCUCCACCCUUUGACCACUCGUUGUUAGCUACGGUGUGAUCACAAAGUUCUCUCAUACCCUUUCCUUGUUAACACAGUUUCCAUACGCAUAGUUCACCCUUGCUCACAAGCUCCAUUUGCUAGUUAUGUCUAUGUCGUAAGUCUAAGAUAGAAGUCAUUGUUCUUUCAUUAUUGAGUAGGUUUGACGGAGGGAGAGGGGGGCUUAUGCAAUAAUAAAAUAGAGCGAAAGAAGAAAGCCGAUGACAUAAUAAUCAUUAUAAAAAAAUUCUACAAAUUUUUUUCAAACUUUAAACAUUAUCUAGAAAAUUCACAAACUUAGAAGGAUUAGUCCCAUACUUCAUUCAUUCAUCAUCAUCAUCAUCAUUAUAUAUAUAUAUAUAUAUAUAUAUAUAUUCAAUCCAUGCGUGGCGUGUGGAACGGAACGGGAAAAUGAAGGGUUGGAGUGAAUGGCGUAAUUGUCGGACGCACUUUGGCGUAGUCCACCGUGACAGAAGGAGAGAGAAUCUGUCAGCGUAUGAAAGAGGUGGAAAAGGGGUGUCAUGUAUAUCCAAACAUGCAAGUAAUAGGACGAAUAUUUAGAAAAAGGGUCUAAAAAAUCUCCUCUUCUUUAUGUUUGAACAGACAGACUCGUAGGAUGAAUGAUACGCUUCUUGUUAUGUGCUUUGUGAAUAGAGUUAUAAUGUAUUUUGAUACUUUCAUCAAAAUAUUGUAAUUUUAAUAAAAGAUGUAAGUGAUAUACAAAUCUUUUUUUUUUUUUUUGCAUGUUCUUCUUUGAAACAUAUUUAAAAAUCAAUCAAAAUAAGUAAAUUAGUUAACACUGCAUCUUCAGUUAAUUAUAAUAUUUUUAUAUAUUUUUAAAAUGUUUUUAUAGAGAUACUAAAAGUAUUAUAACUCUAUUAAAAAACAGCAUAACAGUGUGGAUCCAUUUAUCCUAUAGAUUCAUCCAAUACAAACUAUAAUCUUUUUUUUGUUCGUCCUACUCACAGCUUUUUGGUACACCAAAAAUAUAGGGAAUGGAAGAAAACGAAAAAUAUAUAUACAAAAUAUAUAUAUAUAUAUAUAUAUAUAUAUAUAUAUAUAUAUAUAUAUAUAUAUAUCAUCUCUCAUUCUCCGGUUUUUCAUAUUCUCCAAAGUAAUUCUUUUAAUUUUAAAAAAAUUAAUAUUAAAAAUAAUAAUAUCAAAAAAUAUAAAUAAUAACGACACAUAAGCCAUGGAGAGGGGUUGUUACUAUUGAAUGUUAAUAAUAUUAGAAUUCUAACAUUUUUAAAUAUCUAAAAUAUCUUUCUAUCAACAUUAUAAAUAAAAAAAGGAAUAUUCUGAAUUCAAAACUAGUUUAAUUUAUAAAUUAUUUAUUAACUUAAACAUAGGGCAAAUCUUGGGAGAAGAGAAGGAAGUGCAAGUGCAAAAUGCCAUUUCCAUAGUCGAAACCAGCUGAUCUCAGGACAAGCAGUUCAUCUUUCUAUAACAUGCACCGAGAAAAGACGGAAAAGAGAUCAGUGGUCGAGCAACCCCGGCCACCACCUCAGGCUGUUGCGAGACGAGACGCUUGAAGGAGCAUGUAGCGUAAGACGUGAAGCACGUCCAGUUGGGAUCACAUCUUCCACAUCUCAAUAUCAGGGAGACCGACUGUUGUCCCUCUCGUUGGCUAAGCAACGUGAGUUUCUCGGACAUCGACAACGUGUUCGAUUAAUUGUCAGGAGGGAAGAAUGUAUUGGCUGCGAGGUAAAAAUCAUCCAACGUCAUCUGUUCGUUCGUACUAUGAUCUACAGAAGAAGAAGAAGAAGAAGAAGAAGAAGAAGAAGAAGAUGAUGAUGAUGAGAGACUUGUAUGGCAAUUCCCAAUGGUUUCACAUUUCCAAGUCACGUAUGCAAACAGGGGAAGGUGUACUUUUCCGAUUUAUAUACCCUUUUUUUCCUAUUAUCUUUUAAUCCAUGCUCGAUGAAUUAUUUUUUUUUAAAAAAAAAUAUUGUACAUGAUGAGGCUUAGAGUAGUCUACUGUGAUUCUUAUCGCAAAGGCACAAUCUUCUCGUAACUUAUUUUUAUUAUUUAAUAAAUUAUAAUAACUAUCUCACAUCGAAUGUAUGUUGGGAUGUCUAAGAUUAAUUUUGAGGGUUGAUGAGUGUACUAUUGUUAAAUUUUUUUGGACUAGUGAUUUAGGUCAAAUGAAUUUGAUAACCUAAUUAGCCCAUCAAACUCGAUUCGUGAUAUUUAGUAUCAAAGCCGACCUAGUAUUUGGAUAUGGUGAGGAGGUUUGGGUAGGAAAGAAUUACCUAUAGAUAAAGUUAGAGUACUGGUCACGACAUAGAGCUACCGUAAGACUACGCCUGACAUGCAUCGUACUAAAGUUUGAUUUAAAAUAUAUUAGGCUUUAACGAGGAUGUCAAACCCUUAACGGAAAAAUUAUAACACUCGGAUUAGUUUGACGCAUGCACUAUUAUCAACUUCAUCUUAAAUAUUUUGACUAGUGGUUUAAGCAAAACAAAAUUGAUAUAUCAGUUUAUUUAAACAUUAUGAGGGGAGCUUAAGUAAGAAAAAUCUAUCCGUAGAUGGAGUUAAAGGACUCGUUAUGACAUGGAGUCAUCACUGAGCUAUCUUAUAUGCACCAUGUUAUAAUUUGAUCUAGGCUAUGUUGAGUCUUAAUGAGACAUUCAAGCCAUUGAUAAGGGAAAUUAUAACAUUCAUCUCACAUCGAAAACGGACAAGACUAACUUAUACUAGUGACGGAGAAGCUUUUAUUUAUUAUACUAGUUAACUAUCAUACAAUAUUUAUUGUUAUCCGCAAAGCAACCUUUCUAGCAAAUCAAAAUUUGUCACUUUUUUUAGUAUUCAAGUUGAAUAAUAGCACAAAGCUUAGAUUUUCAUAGGUAAUAAGGAUAAUAAAGGAGAGGAAGCUUACGUGUCAUCGUUGCUCCACCAAAGUGCAACUCAAGAUCAUAUGCAUAACGUAUCAAAAUACUUGACAAUUGAAAUGAAAAAUAUUUUGCUUACUCGAAAUGAUCAGAUAAAUGAAAGUUUUAGGGUUGAUUGGGUUAUAUGUAUAACUUAAGAGAAUGUUCAUAUGCAUUACGUAUCAAAAUACUUGACAAUUGAAAUGAAAAAUAUUUUGCUUACUCGAAAUGAUCAGAUAAUGAAAGUUUUAGGGUUGGUUGGGUUAUAUGUAUAACUUAAGAGAAUGUAUUAGGCUCUAUAAGAUAUCAUAUGGGACUAUCCACUAACAGAACUUAUUCAUAUGCCCGAUGACUAAAUAUAUGACUUAUUAUAAUCCUAUAUAUCCAAGCAGAAUGAGAUAAUAUGAUCGAAGAUAGUAUUGUUUUAUAUGUAUUAUGACAUAUUCUAGUUAUCUAAUACAUGGAUAGAUUCAGAAUGUUCACUCCUGAGUCAUUUUCAAAUUAUGAUGUCAAAAGUUUGAGGAUCUAGUUUGUGACCUUGUAAAAACUACCUUAGAGUAUAAUCAAUAAGGGAUUCGAUGGAUUUGGAUAAAUGUGGAAGUGAUAAAUUUUGCUCAAAAUCCUAAAUAAUGCACCUAAGGGGUCUUUUUAUAGUUCAAUGGCAUUGGAUUAUAAAAAUUGAGAAUGAUUAUUAUUCCAUCGUCAAUAAAUUGUAGAAUCAUAAAAUCGAGAUAUUGAGUAAUAGUUUGUCAUAUCAUCUUUUUUGUGAGUAUUGUGUGACCAAUCAUAUCGUGUCGAAUCGAUGAUAUUGUCGACUCAAUGUUAUUGAUCUUUCAACGACGCAUCUCCCCUAAUGUGCCAGAUAAAUAAAAAUAAGAUAUCAACUAAAUAAAAGUGACUUGUUGACAACUAUAUAUGUUGAUCAUAUGAUGAUAACAUAUUGACAACUAUAUAUAUAUAUAUAUAUAUAUAUAUAUAUAUUAUACCUUCAACUUUGAUAUUAGGAUGAUGUAUCUUUGUCCAUCUAUCCUUAAAUUGGGAAUUCAAGUUUUUAUUUAAUAAAAUUUUAGUUGAAAAAUUAAAUUCAGAUAAAAAUUUCAAAUACAUUCACUAGCUUGUCUAGUAAAAAUCACUGAUUCUAUAGUCAGAUUUUAGGAUUAAAUUACGUCUUCAUCAUCCUAUCAUUGCAAAAAAGAAAAAAACGGCAUUUAUUCACUUUCCCGUCUACUUAAAGACAAUCUAGGUUGGAACGAAUCCUAAAGUACAGGUGUUGUUGGAAUCCCGGGAAUAUCCUCCUAUUCAUUCCCUCCACCCAUUUGACUCUUUCCCCGUCACGCCCCCGUCGACAGCGGCAUAUCCUUCGUGGCCACGCUGUGAAAUCUCUCCCUUCCCCGUGGGGCCCUUUGACUGACCGAGGCUUCCAAAUAAUCUCCUCCCGUCCAACCCCUAAACGAAAGCACCAAGAAGAAGCAGCGACACGACAUCCCUCAUCUUGCCGCCAUGCUCAACCUGGGCGCCGAGAGGCCGCCGCCGCAGCUGGCGACUGGCACCGCCGAGAAAGCCCUCUCCUUCCUCUCCAAGGGGUGGCGCGAGGUCCGCGACUCCGCCGAUGCGGACCUUCAGCUCAUGCGCAAGAGGGCCAACUCCUUCAAGAACCUCGCCGACCGCGAGCUGGAGCACUUCCUCAACUCGGCCGCGAUUCCCCCCUCCGGCGCGGCGUUGCCGUCGCCCUCCAUCGCUGAAUUCGAGCUCGUGAAGCGGAUCCAGCCGAAGCUGUCGGCGAUUCGGCGGGCUUACUCGUCGCCGGAGUUUGGCCGGAGGGUGCUGGAGAAGUGGAGCCCUAAGGCGACCAUCCGGCUCGAUCUGUCAGCCAUUAAGAACGCGAUCGUCUCGGAGGUCGAUGAGGUUGGAGCGGCUCUGGAUCUCAGUUGGGAUGAGGACCAGAGUAAGGAAAAGAUCAUGUGGGAGGAGGGGAGGGCGGAGAUUGUUGAGGAGGGCAAGGGAUGGGAGCCAAUUCGGAUUCUGAAGACAAGGUUGAAGGAGUUUGAGCGGAAGAGCCAAUCAACUGAGAUAUUUGGGACCUUCAAGAGCAGCGAGUUUAUCGAGAAAGUAAAAUUGAGCCUGGUAAGGGCUUUAUUCCUCUCUCUCUCUCUCUCUCUCUCUCUCUCUCUCUCUCUCUCUCUCUCUCUCUCUCUAUAUAUAUAUAUAUAUAUAUAUAUAUAUAUAUAUAUAUAUAUAUAUAGUUCUUGAGUUACAACAUUCUGCCACCAUUUAUCUGUAAUGAUUAGUGAAUUAAGGUCCUUUUAUGCCCCUAAAAUUUUUCAAGAUGCUGGAGCAGCCUGUUCUCCGAUUCUGUUCAUGAUAGUAUAAGCAUCCAGGCUGAAAAAUCAGCUAGCCUCCAUACGAAUCUAGUUAUUAACAUCUAUAUUUGCUGUGUCUAUCAUCAUUUCAUCCAUAACAAACCACAAUUAGCCAUAUCAAUGGGUUUAACUAUGAGUUAAUUCAUCAGUUUUCCACUAAGAUUAACCAGAUGCAGACUAUAAUACAAUAUCUAACAGAAAAACUUGUUUUAUAGCAAAUAAUUGAUGAUUUUGAACAACUUGUUUUGUUAUCAUAGCAUUGCCUAUGAUUUUAUUGAAAAUUUCCUAACUGAGUUUUAGUUGAGACUCAUUGCUUGAUUUGGUAUGUACAAAGCAUGAAAGUAAGCAUUUUUUAUUAUUUAUGGACUCCUGAUCUUCUUUUGUUUGGUAUUGUCCUGAAAUCACCACAAGCACAAUAUGCUUACAUUCUAUAACAAGGUGGUGUGGUAGAAUAAGAUGCUUCCUGCAACUUUCAGUUCCACAUUCCUUUAAAAAUAAAUCUUCUAGCAUUAUGCACUUUGAACUCCUAGAGUUCUGAACCACAAGUGAAGUACCAUAAACAACAUUUUGCUGAAAGGUUUCCUUGAAAUAUUACGAAAAAACAAUAUUUUUCUGAAAGGUGAAACAAGUGCUACUGAGUGCUGCAAGAGUUAGUUUAUAUCGACUAUUAACUUGGUGAUGUCUUAGCAUCAUGUCAAUUGAACCUUCAUUUCCCACUUGUGUUGGUAAUGUACUACUGGUGCCAAAAGGAUAGCUGGACUAAUGAUGACAUAUAUGUCAUAACAGACCUGGGAUUAAGAUUUAAGAACAAGAUACUGAGGCAAGAUUAUGUUUUGAUAUGAUGUUGUUAGAAGCAAGAUAUUUUGUGUAAUCCGUUACUUGUGAACAUAAUGAUUUAUUGUCUUGUCACCAUAUCCUCUUCAUGAAGACUAACAUAGAGAACAUAACAUAAUCAUCUGUGACAAUGUCAAGAUAUUUUGUGUAAUCCGUUACUCGUGAACAUACUGAUUUAUGUCUUGUCACCAUAUCCUCUUCAUGAAGAUUAACAUAGAGAACAUAACAUAAUCAUCUGUGACAAUGUCAAAUGUUGCUGACUCCCACUUUCAUGUUGUGAGUUUGAUGUCUAAAGUUUGCGAUUUUCAUAUCAUGUAUAAGAAAUUACUAGUUAUAUAUAAGAACUUUGAUGUUGAAAAGUUGCACUACAAUUUCAAAUGAUGAUAGAACUGUGAUAAUCACCAUAAUUCCUCUAACUGUAACCGUCACUAUCUUAAGUACUUUCGUAUCUGCUCAUAUAUGGUUAGCAUUUCAAACUAAUCCAUGGAGUGUUAUUUAUUUUUUUUCUUUUUUUAUUUUUCUUGCAGCAAUCGAUUUGCAAGGAAACUGAAGAAUCAACGGUUUGUUUUUAAACUAUUUCUUGUUGUUUUCUUUUAUUUUACAUUAUAAAUUUUGUUCUUAGAUGUUAUUUGAGAAUUUCUAUAUCUGAUAUGAUUUAUCUUGGAUCAAAUUUUAGGUAUGAGUGUUAGGACUAUAGCUAGGAGAGUCAUAAUUGAAUUUUAUUGAAAGGGGCAUUCAUGUAAAACCUACCUAGCCGACCCGACCCCUAUUAAAGAGGUGGAGAGGCCGACUAGGGUUAGGGUUAGUUGGGAGGUUGCUUCUUAGAGUAGGAGCCUUAUUAGGAGUUGGUUAGAAGUAGGAGUCUUGAGUAGGAGUCCUAUUAGGAGUUAGGAUUUAGAAGCCCUCUAAAUAGUCAUGUAUUCAUCCUCUUUUGACAAGCAAUAGAUGAAUAUUCUUAGCAGUCUUUGAGCAACAACUUGGAGGAAGGAACCCCUAUAGAGUUCCAAGGAGGUCGAUCCCCUAAAGAGAUCAACCUCAAGCUUAGAAUCCGCUAGGGUUCUAACAAUAAGUCAAGCAGAGGAAUAUAAUUACUAAUGGGUACCCAAAGUGGUUCAAAUAAUAAAUAUUAUUCUUAUUAUUAGAACAAUCAGGAGAGCAGUCAUUGAUGCGAUAGUGAGGUUGCUCCGCUAAGACCUGAGAUUUUUCAGUUGAAAUGAAGAAAAUAGCCUCUUCUGAUUUGAGAGCAAGGCUAUGGAUAUCUAAUCCUCUCCAGAACACAUUGUCGGACCCUUAUAAUUGGACUUCCUCUGCCCCUUUUGUUGAACCAUUAUGAAAAUUCGUCUAUAUGAGUUGUGAUUUGUGAAACUAUGAGCUGCAUGAUUUUUGGGAAAAUCUAACUACUUUGAAUUCUUCAUAAAUUUGUAUAUUAUUUGAAUAUCUUAUGUCAAAUAUUAAAUGAGUUGCUUUUACAACAGGUGAUGCAUCAACUUAUAAUCAUAUUUGAUCUUUCAUAAGGUUUAUCUAUCUGCUUAUGUACUUAACUAAUUAUUUAGAUAGGAUCAAUUGUGAUGAUAAGUAGAUUGUUUAGCGCAUAAUGUGUAGCAUCCAUUUAGUAAACAUCCGUGUUCUUUGGCAAUCAUAAUUUUGACGGUUGUUGACCACAAAGAGAGACUGAAGGCUUGUUGUUCUUCUAGUAGUAUUAUUUGCUUUUUAAGUUGCAAAAAAUUAUCUUUGUACAAAUGUAUUUUGGAACAUAUCUCUUUUAUUUGUAUUUAUGAAUGGAGGACUCGAGAGUCAACAUAACUAUGAGUAUCAUAUUAUUUAGAUAAUAGCAUGUUAAAGUGCAUAUUAUGCUAGAGUACUUGAGAUUGCAUGCCUCACGAACCAAUCGCAAACACUUUAUUUGAUAUGUUAUAUUUCUUUUUUUGCAAAUUCCAUUGCCUUUUUGAGCUUCUCAUCUUUUCCUCCUUUAUUUUUUGUUACUUCUAUUUGAAGUCCAAAAUGUUUAUAUUUCUCAUCCUUGAUAGUGGUCUCUACAUGGCAUCUCUAACUAUGCAUGUCUGUCAUCUUAUGUUAUUGACUCAUGGAUUGGUUCAAACAUGGUAGUAGAAGAUAGAGACCAUAAUCAUAAUUGGAUACAAGAGAAAAAAAAAAGAAUGAACUGUGUAAUGCAUACUGCUACUUUUUAAAUUUAAAAUGAUUUUUCAUAUAGAAAGAGAGCAACCGGCUGAGGGAAGGAAGAAAUUAUGACCUAUCAGUGGUUAGAAGCAAGGUUUGUCGUAUUGCCUUGUACGAGCAGUAUGUAUCGAUAUGAUAGGGGAUCGGUAUGGGCGAUACAUAUCAGUUUGUUGGUAUGUCCCAUCAUCUCAUGAAUCGGUACAUUAUGGUUUGGUACGUACUGUACUGACAACUGGUCGAUACACCGGUACAAAACCGAUAAGGUGAACAAUGGUUAGAAGACUUAAAACUUAAAAGAACUUCCAAUUCAUUAAAAAUCUUCCUGAAAUUUGGAUUUGUUUUGUGAUUUGUAAUUGUAAGCAUAUAACACAUCUUAAUUAUUUUAGAAAAGAAAUACACUUGAUUUAUUUGAAUUACUUUGUGCUUAUCUACAAUGUUGAAUCUUAAUGACAAUAACUUUUUAGUUAUCACAGCAUCUGGUAUGACAUCUUUAUUUGUAACUAGCGUUUGCUUAAUGAAUUUGCUAACUGGCUAUUGUUGUCUAAUGCAGGAUGUUCCACCACUGGAUAUUCCAGAACUUCUGGCACAUAUUGUCAAGCAAUCUUGGCCAUUAUUUGAUCAUCUUGGUAUUCGACGUGGUAAAAAAAAAUGCACAUCUCAUUCCUUUCAUUGUUAGAUAGCUAGCUCUGAAUUUUUAUAUUGAUAAAAUCUACUAUGCUAUCUAUUCAAAUGAGUAUUGAUGGACAAGAGGUAGGGAUCAUAUUAUUUGUAUUGAUCUAUAUCUUAAUUUUGGUAAAAAAUGUAUACAAAGCACCUUUUACUAGUUGAUUGCUAUUUAAUUGUGGAUGCCUAACUUAUAGUUCAUCAGUUUUCUAUCUUUUAUAUAUUGAUUAGAUAUGGUUGAAUAUAGUUAAAUGAUAAGACCCCUGGAGUUUUAUCAUAGAAGAAGAGGGAAAAAAGGGAUGAUCACUUCGAGAGGAUCAACCUCUUUGAUCAUCUCGAGAGGAUCGACCUCCUAGGGUUUGUCAAAAGACUGAAUAAUAUUUCAUUGAGUACCGAAAAGAAACAGAUAUAUCCCUAUUUAUAGAGUUUCACCUAGAGUCUACCAGGACUUGGACUCUUAGUAAAUAAAUAAAUAUCAAAUAAACCCCUAUCCGACUCUUACUGAACUAGACUGACUCAAUAAAAUAUUAUUCAAAGCUCAGAAAAUAAAGGGAUCCUAACAAUUCCUCACCUUUCAAAUCAGCCUUGUCCUCAAGGCUAAGUAGUAUCAAACUCAAAGAGCUUCUCUUUUAGCAGACUGGAAUAAGGGUAUAUGCGGCGCAUCACAACCCGUUGAUCAAGUAAGAACAGUCUCCAGUUUUUGAUAGUGUAAGUAAUAAGUCGGCCUUUUAGUGUAGUAGUCGUUGCAGUCUUCUGAAGAACCCUCUCCAUCCGAUGGCUAGUGGCAAUUGUGAUCUUACUUCCACGUCUUUCCUUUAGGAUCACUUGCUUUCCAUUAAUAAAAAACUUCAUGAUUAGUUUAGAAAAAUUCCAAGAAACAUCACCCAGGGUUGAUAGUCAUUCAAUUCCAAGCACCACUUCGAAGUCUUCCAAGAGUAGCAAAAAGAAGUCCACAAGCAAUUCUUGGUCAUGUAUAAUCAAUUUUAUCUUCGAACAUUUGUUAUCACAAAUUAAAAUCCAUCCAUCAGCAACCUUUACUUCGAAUUUGUCACAGCCUUCAAUGUGGUAGGCCAAUCUGUCAGCAAUCUUACUUGUCCAUAAAAUUGUUAGUGCUACUAGUAUCAAUCAAGGCUGGGAGACUAGCGUCAACCGAGGCAAUGUUGAGGGCGUGGCUGGGAGGCGGUGUUGCCAAGGGUCGGUGCCGGUGGAGAAGAGGAAGCAGUGGAGGGACUGGCGGCUGUUGUUGAUGCUGGUGGAGAAGAGGAAGCUGUGAUGGCAACCAGCGGCUGUUGUUGAUCCUGGUGGAGAAGAGGAAGCAAUGAUGGCAACUAGUGGCUGCGGCAGUAAAGGGAGCUUUGUUUCUGUUGCACAGCAUAAGGAGCCGCUGGCGACGCCGAAGGAUCAUGAGCGGUUGAGGAGAAGGCUGCGGUGGCUGGGAGCAGCGUCACCAAGGGUCGACGAGGGGGAUGGUCCGUUGGCCGGGAAAUAGCGGUGGCAGCCCUUUCUUGCUCUAACAGGAUGGGGGUGGUCCGCUGGCCGGGAAACAAUGGUGGCGGUGGUCGCUAGCCGGAAAGCAGCAGUGGCGGUGGUCGCUGGCCAAGAAGCAGCAGCCCUUUCUCACUGCGAGGGGUUUGGUCGUGGCUGUCGUUUCUUUCUUUCUCUCUCUCUCUCUCUUUUAUUUUUUAGAUGAUGAUAAUUGCGGCGAGGUGUUAUGAGAAAUUACAGCGAGAACACCGAGGAUAGCUGCUCUGAUACCAAAUGAUAAGACCCCUAGGGUUUUAUCGUAGAAGAAGAGGGAAAAAAAGGAUGAUCACUUCGAGGGGAUCGGCUUCCGUAAUCACUUCGAGGGGAUCGGCCUCCUAGGGUUUGUUAAAAGACUGAAUAAUAUUUCAUUGAUUAUCGAAAAGAAACAGAUAUAUCCUUAUUUAUAGAGUUCCACCCAGAGUUCACCAGGACUUGGACUCUUAAUAAAUAAAUAAAUAUCAAAGAAACCCCUAUCCGACUCUUACUGAGCUAGACCAACUCAAUAAUACAUUAUUCAAAGCUUAGAAAAUAAAGGGAUCCUAACAUUAAAUUUACGUGCACUUGUUUCUUUGUCUUUAAUCAUCUUAUUGAAUAAGUUAUGAGGAUUUUGUUUAAUGUUAAAGUCAUCAUUGUAAUACCUCGAUUACAUCUUAUAAGGAUUAGAUGAGUCUAUUACCAUUAAGUAUUUUGGACAAAUGGUUCAAACUCAAUAAGUUAAUUAGUUAGAUAUUUGCAAAUCGUGACAAAUGGUAUCAGGAUCGAUACAGUAACGGACAUAGUGAGGGGUCCGAGUAGGAAAGAAGUAUACAUAGACAAGCCAGAAUGCAUAUUAUAUAGUGGAGCCACCAUUGGACUAGACCUCAUAUGCACCAAACAUUGAUUUUGGACUAUAGUGGUCUUUGAUGAGGAUAUCCACUUUAGUCUUACAUAAAAAGUAGGAGAUGUUUUGAAUGGACUUAUAAGGGCUAGAGGAUCUAUUACCAUUAACUUGGGCUUAAGUAUCAUGGGUUAUUGGUUCAAUGGAUUAGUUACCCACUCAAGUCGGAUCGUGACAAUUAUAUAUAACACAUUUGCUUUUUGUUGUAAAUCUUUUAUAGAAUCUUCAACCACUGUUAGAGUAAACCAUUAACAAGUGCUUCUCUGAUUCAAGGUUGAAGAUUCUUGUGUGGUUAUAAUCAACCCAGCAAAAAUAGCUAAAUCGAUUGACACCAAAGCUGAAAUUCAGGAAGUCUGUUUUGGUGGUCCAUUGUGUAAGGCUAAGAUUCUAUGUUUGUUGCUGUUGAAUGUCCCCCAAAUUCUGUGUGAGGGAUAUUCUUGAUGUCAAGUCACUGUGAGGAAUAUUUGGGAUGGUCGAGCCUCGUAGGAGCAUGAACAAAUGUGGCUGCAGAAGAUGUUUCAUGAGUGACGAUUUCUCUUGAUUAACUGGUGACAUUGUCCUCGAUAGAGCUAAUGAAAUGAAAAGAUUCAUGUAGCCAAACAAACAUUUUGGGAGUUACGGUUGUUUAUGUUGUAUGCUCUUGAUGGGAAAGAAAAAUAAAAAAGUCUGGACUACGUUGCCAUUUGAAAUGUUAUGCUGUCUUUCUGAGAUAUUUUGAUCUGUAUUUUUAUAACCUAAGAAUAUUGACCCUGUGUUAAUACAUCUUGCAAAAAUUGGUCAAUCACUUUCAUGAUUAUCAUCUUCUUUUAUUCGUCAUUCAAUUGGAUUUGUUUCACAUAAUUAUAAUUCUUCAUAUUUAAAUCCCUUUUCUAUUCUGUGGACAUCUCAUGUCGUUUGCAUGCUUUGACAGAACUUCAGGGAUAUGGCUUACUGACACUUCCUAAAUAUAUAAUUAUGUGCAAUUAUUUAUCAAAUGGUUGGAUAUGGGUUUGGGUAUGAUUUAACAUCUUUUUUUGUGCAGACAUAUAUGUAAAAAUGGUCGAAACUUUGUGCAGCAGGCACAGAGAUCAGGUCAUGUACCAUCAUUCUCUUUAUGCCAAGGAAGAGUCCUUAUAUGAAAACGAGAAAAUCAGUGAUGAACUUGAUUUAAGGAUAGCCAGUGUGCUUCAUAAUACAGGGCAUCAUUAUGAAGGGGGAUUUUGGACUAGUUUCGUAAAGAAUGAGUCAGCAGAUAGAAAGCACCAUGUUGCAAUAGUAACAACUGCCAGUCUACCAUGGAUGACAGGAACUGCUGUAAACCCAUUAUUUCGAGCUGCUUAUUUGGCAAAGUCUGCAAAGCAAGCUGUCACACUGGUUGUUCCUUGGCUUUGCAAAUCAGAUCAGGAGCUAGUUUAUCCUAACAACUUGAGCUUUAGUUCUCCUGAAGCACAAGAAGCUUAUAUACGAAAUUGGCUGGAGGAGAGGGUUGGCUUUAAGGCAGAUUUCAAAAUAUCUUUUUAUCCAGGAAAGGUAACCACAUGAUGCUAUGUAUUCUACUUUAAAAUGUUCAAAUGCUAGAAUUUUAACACAUUUAUUUUGGUCUUAGUUCUCAAAAGAAAGGCGAAGCAUAAUACCUGCUGGAGACACUUCACAAUUUAUUCCCUCAAAAGAAGCUGACAUUGCCAUAUUGGAAGAGCCAGAGCACCUGAACUGGUACCACCAUGGAAAGCGCUGGACGGAUAAGUUUAAUCAUGUUGUUGGCAUUGUGCACACAAAUUACUUAGAGUACAUCAAAAGAGAGAAAAAUGGAGCUAUCCAAGCAUUUCUUGUGAAACAUAUAAACAAUAUGGUCACUAGAGCAUACUGUCAUAAGGUAAGAGCUUGUUUCCUCAGAUUAUUUGUGUGAUUUUAUUCAGUUAUCCUGGUAGUCCAAUAUUUUAGGUACUUAACUUUGGUCAUGUUUAGCAUUAUAAUAACAGAUAUUCUGCUAGCGAAAAUGUGUAUCUUAACAAAAUAGUGUUAGUCUUUCUGCAGGUUUUGCGUCUUUCUGCAGCAACACAGGACUUACCCAAGUCUGUUAUUUGCAAUGUUCAUGGUGUAAAUCCUAAGUUUCUUAUGAUCGGAGAAAAAGUAGCAGCUGAGAGGGUGCAUGGGCAGCAGGCAUUCUCCAAAGGAGCAUAUUUUCUUGGAAAGAUGGUUUGGGCAAAAGGUUAUAGGGAACUGAUAGAUCUGUUAGCGAAGCACAAAAGUGACUUGGAAGGUUUUAAGUUAGAUGUAUAUGGAAAUGGCGAGGAUUCUCAGGAAGUUCAAUCUGUUGCCAAGAAGUUGGACCUGAAUCUUAACUUCCUUAGAGGAAGGGAUCAUGCAGACGAUUCACUUCAUGAGUAAGGAUCAUUUAGUAGUGUCUAGCUUGCUGUUUCUUGUUGCAUUUCCCUUAUUGUUACUUCCAUCUUAUUCUUUUCCUUUUAUUUUGUAUUGUAUUUCAUCAGGUACAAAGUUUUUGUAAACCCUAGCGUCAGUGAUGUCCUGUGCACAGCAACCGCAGAGGCUCUUGCCAUGGGGAAGUUUGUUAUUUGUGCCGAUCACCCAUCAAAUGAAUUUUUCAGGGCAUUUCCUAACUGUUUAACUUACAAGACCUCAGAGGAUUUCGUUUCUAGAGUGAAAGAAGCAAUGGCCAGUGACCCUCAACCACUUACCCCUGAGCAGAGACAUAACUUGUCAUGGGAGGCUGCAACUCAGAGGUUUAUGGAGUACUCUGAGCUUGACAAAAUCUUAAACAAUGAAGAACCCAUGAAUGGUGACAAAGCAAUUUACGGCCGGAAGAUGAAGAAAUCAAUUUCCAUGCCAAGUUUGUCAGAUGUGAUGGAUGGGGGUUUGGCAUUUGCUCAUUAUUGUUUCACGGGAAAUGAAAUAUUGAGGUUAACCACAGGCGCAAUACCUGGGUCACGGGACUACGGUAAGCAGCAUAGUGUUGAUUUGCGUCUUUUGCCACCUCAGGUACAGAAUCCUGUAUAUGGCUGGUAAUAUGAGUUUAGCUUGUAUCGAUAUCUUAUAGCCUACGCCGAAGCAGACUGUUAGGAUUGCAGAGCCUUGUGCAUGGCAAUCACUGAAUCAAGUUGCAUGCACCUAUCUUUCUAUUCAACCCUGAGCAUAGGAAGAUAUGUAAUUUUGACUUGGUGUUCCUCCUUCAUAUUCUGUAGUAUAUACCAUUCAAGUUACGUGUGGUCUUUUUUAACUGGUGAGCCGCAGUAUUAGACUUUGUAGGCAGAGGUACAUAGUCAUUUUUUUUUCUCUUAAUCAUGUAUAGUCCUGAUAGGUUGCUGCUUUGCUCUUCCUUGUAAGUCUUGAUUAAUCUCUCAUAACAAAAGGAACCCAAGUCUUGAUUCCUCAACAUGGGGUAAUCGUCACUAGUAUGUUCAGGUUCGAUAGGAAGAUCCAGCACGGAAGGGCCAAUUCUAGCAUCUUCUCAUGAGGAUGGUAAAUAUUAUGCUGAGCAGGUGCAACAAAUAAAUAUAUAAUGUUAUGAAGCUCCUGUACUCUGAUAAAGACUUAGCAGCAGAUAGAUAAGCAUGGUAUGUGAUUGUUUCUUUCCCAUUUCUUGGUUAGAUCAAUACUCUCUCUCUCCUAUGGAAUCUCACCACCAUCAUAGUUAAUGUGGAGUUGUGCUUUUGAUCUGAACAGGUAAAUUCAGUUGUGUAACUUGCAGUGCUUGACUUGUGUGGCGUUUGCUAUCGGAAAAUGUUAGUUAUCGACGACUAUUGAGCAGGUCAGCUCUUACAUGGCUCAUUGGGCCUUUUAGAGCUUUCUCCAGCAAAAUUUUUAUUGUUUGUAUGACCUGUUCAGCAGAGGCAAAGUUUAUAAAGACCCACUUGGAAGGCAAAUUAUAAAGACCUAAUACCUUGCAUUUUAGGUAUAUUAGUAUCAUUGACAACAAUCUUUUGUUGGAUCAGUCCAAAGCUUCCCUGUCAUAAUAUAUAUAUAUCCCUCAGUUGCUGUGCUGUGCAAUUGUAGUUGAUGUAAUAUCAGUAACGACAGCAAAUUGGGGGGAUCUUUAAUGAUAGUAGUAUGUGGACUAUUAGCAUUAUUUUCCAAGUAGACAUCAAUCAAUCUUGUCCUCGUUCCUGCCAAAAUUUGAUUCAAGAGAGUCACUUCCACCAGUCCUCAAAUUAUCCAUACUAAGAAAUGGUUUGUAUUAAUUUAUGCAGUGGGAUUGUCAUGCAUGGAACACGAGAGCAUUGGUUUUGACCAGCUAGAAUCUCAUGAACCAGAAACAUAUCCGUCAAAAACCACUUCCAUGUUCUACCAAUCUGAGUGACGUAAAAGGGGAUGAUGGGAUAGAAACGAGGGCUAUUUCCAUAUGUCUUUGCCGAUCAACUUCUUUGAAAGUGUCUGAAGAAGCCAAUUCUUGCAGUCACAUUUCGAUGAAAACGGCGCAGUAAGAAUUCGUCGGACUGAGUAAACUAAACUGACUGGUUCAGAAAAAUUCGAUAUAUUCUAAUCAGCCUUCCCAUAAUGUACAGAAAAUUCACCACUGACAUAACCCAAAAACCAAAUUUAUAAUGAGCAAAUGAAAUUAAUAUGACUGGAAUCCAACAAAUCAAUGACUGAUGGUUUCCUUUUUUUUUCCUCUUUCUCCUCUAGUCGGAUAAAUAUUCACUUUUGUGAAGCUACAUUAGAUUACAACUUUCCAAACUCGCACCUGCGUAGACAAUGGAAUCAGAAAUAGGUGUGGCCUUAAGGUCGGAAAGAACUUCCAUCCAUUACAAUGUUACAGCGCUUUUUAUAUGAUGCCAGUACAAGAAAAACAAAAUAAAAAAAUUUACAAUUACUUUAAAUCGAACAUAUGAUCUUUUCUUUUCUCCUAACGAGAUAAUAUUAUUUUUGAUUGAUGAUCAAUCUUCAUAAAAUCUUCAAUCAUGAUUUAAUAUCUUUAAUAACAAUAAUAAUAAUAUGGUUUUUUUUUCUUUUUUUUUAUUCAUCGGAUAAAAUAGAAAUUUAUAUUAGAAUUAUUGUGGAUGUUUUCAUGUAGCAAUCUAUGCAAAGUAACUUCUAAGCUAUUCAAAUUUACUUAAAUAAACGAUUAAUCCAUAUAUGUAUUCUACCCAUAACCUUGUCAAACCCAAUUAGAUCUGAUUAGAAAAUGCAUCUGACAUAUAUGAUAGGAAAUCAAAUGCACAUAUACCAAGGUUUGGGAGAAUAACCUACCCCUAUAAUAUAUAUAUAUAUAUAUAUAUAUAUAUAUAUAUAUAUAUAUAUAUAUAUAUAUACAUACAUCACAUCUAAAAUUCACAGGAAGAAGUAGUUCAACAUUUUGUCAUGACAAAACACAAGACAUGAUGAAAUGGAAAGAGGUAAAUAAUUGAGAUUAGAAAGAAUUAAAUAAAUCAAUUAACAUUCUUUUUUUUAUGCACAUUAACUAUCUAUCCUCUCAUGUAGAGGGAGGAGGGGGAUAUGAAGCCUUCAAAGGAGGUGCUAAACAGGGAGAAUUCCUCCAAGCCUUGGAGUGUAACCUCAAUAUCUCCCUAACCCUCUCCCUGGCCUGCGCAUCACAAUCCAUCUGCAGCACAUAACACAUCUUGGAAACAGCUCCGAGCUGUAACAUCUCCUGCAGCACCGCCGGAGAUGGCGAAGACUUCGCCACCGAGCACAGUAUCUUCACCGCCAUCCUGCUCACCAGCCGCGACACCCUAUGUAUCUUCUUCGACACCACUGCGAUCCCUGCUGCGUGCUCGACCAACUCGGCUCUCCCUUCUGCGCAACCACACAGCUGACAUAGAAUCACCAUGAUCAUCUCACACGUUCUCUUCUCUGGUUCAUCGAGCAGUUGCUCGAUCAACACUCGCACUGCCCCGGCUUUCACUGCCUUUAACCUGUUGUUCCCCCAGGGGCUAACAGCGGCCAGAACUUGCAGUGCUGCCUUCGUGGCUUGGUGUGAGAUCUCGUCUCGUACGACCUUCGCGAGCUCUUCGAAGAACUCUUCCCUUAAAGACAAUGCACGGGCCGGAGCGAUCACCGACACAAGGGAUUUGAGGAGUAGCAACGAGUAAGCUCGGAUUCGGUAGCUCGAUCGCCCCAACACUUUGGUCAACAGUUCAACGAAGUUGACGUCCCUAUGGAUCAAACCGAGGAGGCUUUUCUCCGAGAGUUGGAGAGAGCACAAUAUGGCGAGGGCUUCAUCGGGAGCACUUGCAGACUCCAAUCCAUCGCACACUAUAAGUUCUUCCUCGAGAACACCUGUCGAGCCGUGGAUGCUUUUCUCCAUGAUCGAAGCUAAAACGUCGACGGCACCCGAAGCCUCGACGCAGCGUUUGUUGCGGUCGCUCUCCGACGCGAUGGCCUUGAGUCUUCGGAGCGCGGUCAUCUGUGUCUGCGGCAGCUUGGCUUCGUCGAGGAGGGCCACGAUCUGGGUCAUGUCGACCGGGGGACGGGGGGUGGGGAAGCGCUCCACGCCGUCGGAGGCAUUGGCGGAGCACCAGGCCUGGAUGAGCCGCCGGAGAGUGUGGUUGGGCGUGACGUCGAGGUUCGUCAACGCUUGCUUGGUGACCGGGCAGAUCUCAUGCUUGUCGGAGAAGAUCCACCUCUCGAUGCUCUCCCGGUCGUAGGUGAUGCCGGUGGAAAGGGUCACCGGAUCUCUCAUGAUCUCGAGCGAUAUAGGACACAAGAAGUAAGGCGGGACUUCCACUCCCUCCAUCAAUCCUAAUCGAACGAUAGCUGCAAACGAAUCAAAGCUUUGGGAAGGCAGAAGAAAGGCGGUGUCGAUGAUGAGGAAGGUCGAGUUGGUACGGUGCUUGGUUACUUAUAAAGGAGAAGGGAAGAGAGAUACAACGAGGGAAGAAGUCAACGCGCGAGGCUGAGUCGUAAAUGGUCAUUGUAUAUUGAAGGUUAUUGGCUUUUUAGGGUUUGGUUUUCACGACAUGUUAAGGGUGUGCGUGCGCGUAUCAAUCAAUGUAUUGUCGAUGCAUGGAGAGGCGCUCAAAGAUUGCCAACUUUACUUGGUCCUCUCUUUGGGUUUGACCUUGGAAAUGGCUUCUCCUUUGACUUUUAUAUGCAAGUCAUGUGUUCUUCCCACACCGUCAUCUUUCUCAAAUGCACCAAGAAAGCAUAAAUAUUUGGGGGACUAAAAAAACCCAUCAGUUUUUCUAACUCUUCUUGUUUUGAAUAUUGACAAAAAAAAAAAAGUCAUUCUUAUUCGAUUCAAAUUACAAUCGAUUUGACAUUUUGUCAUCACUUCCUACUUUCUCUCUCUACAUGUAAUUAAUUAAUUAUUUAUUUAUUUAUUUGCGAUUGAUUUGAUCCUCUUAGAUGCAUUAUUCCCAUCUCCCAUAACGUGAAAGCAAGAAAAAAGAGAAAGAAUCUCAAACACCAAUAAUAUAAAAUAAAUGGACCAACGAAUAAAAAGAAAAAAAAAAGCUAAACACCUCUCUAUUGAUGUUCUUUAGCUCUUGCAUUAUUGCUCUCUUAAUAUUCCUUGUUUCUACGAUGGACCCUUAACUUUUGAAUAGUAUAAGAUUCAAAUUCAUAAAAGAUAUAGGGUUUAGGAUUUAAACUCCUAAUUAAUAUAGAAGUCACCGCGCAUUAAUUAUAUUACUAUCUCCCACACCAAGAUAGAUAUUAUAAAAAAAUAUAUAUAUUUCUCUCUUUUUUUUAUCCAAAUCUAUUACCACACUAUCUCGUACUGUUAUUUGGUAAGGUUAGAUCUCGUAAGGCCGAUAUUAAAUAUCUUUUGUAAAAAUAAAAUGAUAAUAAUUUUGGUACCACUUUUUAUUUAACUCAAAUUUUCAUAUACUUUUACAUUAUUUUUAAUUAUUAUUUACCAUAAGAACAUCAAUAAAGUCUUAAUCGUUUCAGCUACUUGUGAUUGACUACAUGGCUGUUGGGUCUUAUACAAAAGUAAUUUUAUAGAGUUUAAGUGUUCGACCUGUCUUGGGUUUUGAUCAUGUAUCACAUUAUGUUACACUCUUUCAUCCCAUGAAUCCGCAGUUAAGACUUAAGAUAUGUUCAUGAUAUUAUUACAAAUACAUAGAUCACAUGAGUUGGAACAUUUUUUGUCUUUCGCUUGUAUUCUUUCCUUCAGACAGACUUAGUCGAGAAAGAGAGGAACAUUGUAAUGUCAAUCUUCCUCUUACUUAGUUCUGUGGGCAAUUGUCCAAGUCAAUAGUAAAUAAUCAAACAAAGCUCUCUCUCUUUUCGAUGUAGAGAGAGAGAGAGAGAUAGAGAGAGAGGAUAAGGGAAUAUCAAAUUGUUAUUUUUCUUAUCGUUAUGUCCAAAAACAUUCAACCACGUUUAGGAAAAGAAAAUAGCUUUAAAGUCAAAGGCUUCCGGUCAACGUCAAAUCUAAUCUGAAUUGCACCACUCUGUUAAUUAUCUGUAAAUGUUGACUGAGACUAAUAAAUUUGGUGUUUUAUUUAUAUUAAAAGAUUUAUAGUAGAUUAAGUCCUAUGAUAUUGAGACGAAAUCAAAAGCAAGACGGAAGCUUGAUUUUAAUUAUGGUUCCCAGACAUCAAUAGUGGAUUUGACGUGUACAACGCACCUGUCAUUUACAUGGAUAAUAAAUAAUAUACAUUACCUUUGGUGCUUCCGUGUCGAUGACAGAUUGCGUCAACUAAAUUUAGACAGGUGAUGAUAUAUCUAUCAAUCUAUCUAUCGUACGUACGUAAGAAAUGGUACUACUGUGCACCAAACACCGUACUGUAUCGGGAUCUCACUUUGCACAUUUGGUGGGAUAGCAAAAUCCCACCACUACGGAUGAUGGAUUUGGAAAGGUAGGUGUUAAGAUUGGAGUGCCAACUAAAUCCAACAGGUCGGUCCAAAUUGUCGGAACGAGAAAAGCCCACGUUUUUGCUAUCUUGUGGCGUCUACGUCUUCUACAAUCAUGCAUCCAACCUGGAGCCGGAAAGAAAUUUUUUUAGUCAACGUUCCAAUUUUGGUAACGAUGUGUCGGCUAACAAAUAGAUGAGAUAUUUUUUUAAAGAUACAAAAAAAAGAAAGAAAAACAUCAUGUGUAACACAAUAUCAUCAACUUAGUUGAAAUUAUUUAAAUUGUCAGGUAUCCUCGUAUCAAUGUCAUGAUAUCUAGGUCAUGAUGCAUCAUUGUUUUGUUUAUCUGUAAAAAAUCAAUUUAGUUGUAAUCUCACUUAAGUCCAGAUCUCUAGAAAAAUAAAUUGAUUAGAUCAAAGACAUACGAUAAACAAGUCUUAACGUCUCGCAAAACAAAAUAGUUUCAUACACAAUUCGACAAACACUUGAGAUGUGUAAGAAAGAAAAAAAGAAAAAGAAAAAAAAAUAAAAACUUUAGAAACCAAACGAACAAUCAUAAUUUUGUAAUUUUUAUUAUGUAGCUUAACGUAGGAAUUUAUAAAUCCAAUUUUUAUUAUGUUUUAAGAUGAAUUAAAAUAUACUAAAUUAAAUAAUUUAUUAUCUUAAAUUUAUUAUAAGAAAAUAAUUUAAUCUUUCUAAUGAUGUGUCAGCGAGCAAAUAGAUGAAAGUAUUUUUUUCUUUCUUUCUCUAAAAGACAAAAGAAGGAAAGAAAAACAUCAUGUGUACAAUAUAAUACUAAAUUGAAUAACUAAUUAUCUUAAAUUUAUUAUAAAAUAAAAAAUAAUAUAACAUUUCUUAAAAUAAAUACAUAUUUUCAUGGAAGAUGACUCACUACAAAAAUACACUUGUUAAUAGAACCCAACAAAAAAAAAUAGUGUGUUAAAUUUAAUAAAUAAUUAUCAUAAAAUCAUCAUAAAAAAUUACUAAAAUCCUUAUUAGAAUUAUGUACUAAUAGAAUUGUGAAAGGUUGAGAUCAGGUUGAUUUGUUACAUUAAAAAAUAAACUAAAAUACUAUAUAUAUAUAUAUAUAUAUAUAUAUAUAUAUAAUUAGGUAAUAAUAAAUUUGAUAAAAAAUAAAAAUAAAAAUAAUUUAUUUUUCAAUAAUAAUUAUGAAACUGGGAGAUAAUUCGGUUGAAGUUAAUCUCAUUAUACUAAAAAAUAAACUGAAUUAAGCUAUCUAAAAACAUAAUUAAUUAUCAUAAAAUCAUAAAUUAUAAAAAAUAAAAUUCACUAAAAUCCUUGAUAGAAUAAUGUAAUAAUAAUAGAAUUGUAAAAAUUGUGAUGUCGGCUUUGUUAUACUCGAAAAUGAACUAAAAUACAUCCAUUGGUUCAUAAAAACUUAAAAAAAAAAUGUCAAUUUGAUAAUUAAUUAUUAUAAAUUCACCGUACAAUAUAAAAAUUAAUUACGAUCCUUCUUAGAAUCAUGUUUUGUAGAAUUGUGCUAGUUUGAAACCAUUUAAAGUUAUGUGAAUUUUAUAACCAAAUGUAUUUCAGUUCAAAUAAAAUAUAUGUUAAUAAAUUUUAUCUAAAACAUCUCACACUUACUCAUCUAUGCUCACCUAUGAUUGUAACACUCAUUUCUCUCUCUCUUUUUUUUUUUUUGGAGUAUUUUAGAAUAUUAUUAUGAUGAGGAUUCAAUAGUUGAGUGCAUCUCAAUUUUAAAUUAUAUUGAAUGCAUCUAAAAGAUUUUAAGCUUAUACAUCCACAUAUAAUUGUAACAUUCUUUCUUUUUAUUUGAAAAAUAAAAUAAAAUAAAAUCCAAAUCCAAAUCGGACUAAUUCUGUUUAGGAAUUUUUUUCCUAAGUGCAUAUGCCACCAUCUAACCAAACCACAAGCGAGAUUAACUAUUCCAAAUGCAAAAGUAUAAAGUUUUUCUUUUUUUUUUCUUUUUAGUGUCAAAACCUCUUUCAGUUGACAAAUAAGAUGAAAGAGUGAUUAUGAAUAAAAUUAAACUAAUUUUCAAUCUGAGAUUAAAAAUCAAUAUAACAACUUCUAAAAUCAGAACUCGUAUCAUUCAGAGCCAAAAACUAUUUAAAUUACCUAAAACUCUUAAAAAAAUAAUAAUUCUAGACUAAAAUGUGAUAGUUUUAAGACGACAUUUUUCCAAGUAUUCUAACUCAUUAAAAGCUGAAAUUAUACUAAAUUAGAUUUUUUUUUUUUUAAAAAAAAGCAAUUAGCCCCUCAAUUUAUGGAUUUGAAUUACAAAAAGUUUAUUCUACAUGUUUGCAUGAUAUGUUGUUGUUGAUGAAGAAAUUAUCUUUGAAAUUGAAUCAUAUUAAUCUUCAAUAAAGAUCAAAAUUCAGUAUAAUUUCAUUCAAAAUUAAUGUACCUCAUAUCAUUCCAAGUCAAAGAUAUUUAUAUUCAAUUGAAACUCCUGAAAACUAGUUCAAAUAUAUAUAUGAUUUUCAAUUGAUAACAUAUGCUCAUUACUAAUUGAUGUUUCAUAGAUUCUCUCACAUCAUUUUACAAUUCAAGAAUUUAAUCCAAUAUACAUACAUAGGCGCCAUCUUGAAAAUUUUGGAAUGUCAUGUCAAGGCAAUAUAAACAGAUAAUUUUUCUAAUCAGUGCAUUCAUUCAUGCAGUUGUUCAGACAAGCUACCCAGAGAAGCCUAAAAUAGUCAUUCGACAACAUAACUUGUAGAUGGAAUAUGUACCCAAGAAAAAUAUAACUAAAAGAAAAACCCACUGAACUUACUGAAAUAUAGCAAAUGAUUUAAUCUAGAACUAAAAAAGUAAUGAUACAAAAUGCAGCGAGUCGCAUGCCAAUGUGUCCGAGGGCCAUACCUGGUAAGACCAAUAUCAACAGGCAUUCCAUGGGCUUUAAUUUUCUCUGCUAGCAACAUUACUUCAAGAACUAAAACUGAUUGAUCACAGUGGUGAACUGUGCAGGGCCUCUACAAAGGCUACGCCAAGUGUGUGACAGGAGUUUAAAGACUUGGCAGGUAGAUAUGAUUACAAGAAUUUACUAAAGAUCAAAUAAUCACUCAUUCAUACAAGAAAAUUACUUUAAUUUAAAAAGAGUUCAUAAACCCACAACUAAAGACCUCGGGUAACUGACUUUGGUGUGAUCAGGGAUCCAUGGAUUUAUUGAAAGUCAUCUACCUAAUCUUUAGCCGAUUUUUGUGUGUUAACUGCUUCAAUUUGUAAUAUUAGCAUCUCUCGCAAAGAGUAACCAUGACAGCCAGGCGGCGGCUAGGAACAUAGCUCUAACUAGUCCUCCAACAUGUGCUUGUUCUCGAUUUCGUUACCAUUGGCUGUAAAGGAACUACCAGUAUCAUUUAUUGUGUUGUUGCUGCCACGGCAUUGCAACAACUGUAGCUGAAGGCUCUGAACAAGCUCAUUUAGCCGUUGAAUAUUCUUCUCUUGUGAUAAGAUUAUCUGAAAGCACGAUGUAGGUUUUCCAUUGCAUAAAUAUAAAAACAGAAAUAAAAGGUAGCAAUAGCAGUCAGAUUUCAAACUGGGGUCAACCAAUAAAAAUAUGAAUACACAUGUACAAGCAUUAAAGGUAUCAUAAAAUAUCACUAUAAAAGUUGGCAGGAAAAGAACUGGAGAUAACAAUUCUGAAAAGAAUAGUUCACUUAGUACCUCUCCAAACAAGCUAUGAUGAUACAACUGAGAUCUGUGUUAAACUUCAUGACUUCUAGAAGCAACCUCUUUCUUUUCUUGCCUAGAAAUUGAUCUUGUGUUCUGUUAAAUUUUAAACCAGUGCUACAUAAAAGUGCAAGCCCAUCAAAUAUUUGUCACAGGCCAAACAUGGGCUGAGUUAAAUGGACACAAGAGGUGAGCAACAACAAGAGGCAAUCUAUACAAGGUCAAAAGGAGCAACAACUAGAGAUUGGAGCAACUAGUGCUAGUUACCCAGAGAUUUAGCAAACUGCAUCACAAGCAUAGGACAUGAUCACUACAAACUUGGUACUGGUAGGUAGAAUUUAAUAAAACCAAGUACCAAAGAAACACUAUCGUCAUUUGACAUUAAAAGGAUAGAAGAUAAAGAGGAAAAAUUAAUCACACCAGUUGCCCUUGACAAUUCCAUCAUUGAGAACAGAUAUAGAAGAGAAGGGAUUAGGAGAAACAAGAGUCUUGAGGGGCUUGCCAUUUGAAGCUUGAGUUACUAAGGAACGACAAUCCUACCUAAUGCAACAUCACAAGCCAAUAUCUUAUGUUAAAAUUAAAGUAAAACCAUUCAAAACCACACCUGUAAAUGCUCUCAAGCCGACCACCUCAAUUGCUAGCAUGGCCUAAGCUACCAUAUUGAUGGUGUGAACAACUUUGAUGAAGUUGACAUUCAACGAUAACAAGAAGGUACUAUCUGAUGUAGGAGGAAUUAAGAAGGAAAGAGACAGGAAAAGAAACAUAUGAUGGAAAGAUAAUAUGAAAAGAAAUAGAUAACUACCCAAUUCAUUUGGGAAAAUAAAUCCAAUAUUCCUUGAAUAAUAUAUCUCCCUUGAAAAGAUGAAAUCUUCGUAUUAAUAAUCUUCAAUCAAGAUCAAAUUUGAACUUCUUCCAUUUUUUUGCAUUUGCUUUCUUUUUCUUCUUCAUUAAUUUGGGGGACUGAAUUAGAUAUAUCGAAGAUGUUGCUAAGCGACAAUUUAUGACAUUUGCAAACUACCCCUAAACUAAUAAGUUUUAUUUAAAAAAAAAAUUAAAUUAAUCCUGCAUCACUAUCUUUGUCAAAGGUAAAGGAGAAACAGUGAAAAUGUCUUUGUUUCCACUAUGAUGAAUGAUGUUGCAGUAAUAGGUGCAAGUCAAGCACUCUUAUAGUCACAGUUGGAAGAUAACACAGAUGACUUUUCAAAGUUCUUUACGAUGAUUAGGCACCAUCAAUAGAAGAAUAAACAAUCUCAUUUUAUGUUAUGUCAAGAAAAGAACAUCUGUUUGCCACCACACAGUUCUGUGCCUAGAUAAAUAGCUGAUUACACUACAUUGUAAGACACCAUGUCAAUAUAUAAUAUCAGAAACACUAACCCUGUCAAGAUAAAAGUUAACCAUCAACCUUUUUCAUGUCUAUCAAUUGAGUAGAGGAGUAAUUCUAACAAGUGCAUGCAAAGCCAAUAUCUCAUUUGGGCUGAAAAUCAAAGCAUGAAACAAAUUAGGGACAAAAAACUAGUUAAUCCUACUCCAACGAGCAUCAAUUUCUAAGACAAUUAUCAAUGCUACAUGGAUACAUAAUUUUAGAUCAUGCCAUCUUAAGCAUGAUGUUAGGUUGGAAUUUUUUGUUUCAGCUUUAAACAAUUAGUCAAAGUGAAAAAGUUCAGAUAGUCUGUAUGGUUUCUGUUUGAGCCUAGAAUUUGGACAUAGUAAAAAUCUAAAGAAGCAAAGUAUGUAAAAAUAAAUUAGAAUUAAACAUAUAAUCACGACUAGAUCUGAGAGAACAUAGGCAAAAAGUGUGCUUGAAAUUCCACGUUUUACUUUAAUUUCAAAGAAAUUGGACCACUGAUCUUUGUUACAGUAUCCUAAAGGCAGAAGGAUUUUAAACAAUGUCCUAAUUUGACUUCUUUUUUUGAGUAUGUUGAAAAUGAGUCUUCUCAAAACACAAAGUAGUAGGGCCACGAUGAAAUUAUUUCUCUGAUCUCCCGUAUUUAAUGACUGAACUCAACAAAACUUCCAUCCCAUACAGAUCAAAAUGGAUGAAACCACUGUGUUUUUAGCUGUUUCAGGUGAAAUAACAGAAUCCCAAUUGAAACAGAGUAUCACCCAACAUAAUGUAUCUGAUGCAUCGACAGAUUUAGACAGUUGUUUUCAGCUAGGGAAACUAGUCUGUUUUGGCCGAAAUGUAACUGGGUUAGCUGUUUUCAAAUCAGAAAAUUGCUUAUACAACAAGGAAAAUAGAGGGAAUAAAGUGAAUUAGCUAUGGUGACAGAGAAAUAAUGUCAAGCCCUAAUAAAAUCCAGAGUAUUGUGGUGGGUCGCAGUGAACAUGGCCAACCUCUUUUCUCAAAACAACAAUCUCACCAAAAUAAGAUAGACACCAGAACAAGGCGAGGAAAGGUGAGGGCUGAGCACCUCGAUUUGCGUUCGAGGCAUUCAACUAGGCACAGCCCAGGUGCUGGGUGGCUCAAGCGAAGGCCUGAACCACAUUAGUCAGGUCCGAACCUUGACUUGGGUUCAGUCCGACAAAUUAACUAAACCCCUAUCAAUAAUCCUAGAUCGUUCUCAUAAAUCUAGCAUCUUUAUUCACAACACAUGCACCUUUGAUGAUUUAAAAGCUAGGUUUCAUCUACUCAUAAACAUACUGUCUUUUAUGUUAAACUAACCUUUUCCUUAAUGAUUUCUUCUCUAUUUGAAAUCUGUUGCUGCUUCUGUGAGAUGAUUGGGCUUGCUUCUAUUUCAUUCGCAAGUUGCUGUUUCCACUCAAACUGCGAUGUGAUUAUAAGUAUUACCAGUAGAAAAACAAGAACCACGGGCCUUGACAUCAUCAUCAACAAUCAACAAAACCUGUUAACAAGGUAAACUAGCUUGUCAUGUUCAACAUAGAUUAUGUGAAAAGCUUCACCACGAAAGUCGUAGCAACUAAGAUGGCUAUACCGAACUGUAAGAAGAGAAACAUCAAUCAAAUUGCACAAUGAUCACACAAAAGACUCUAAUUUUAAGCCUCCAACUUCCUUCACCUGCAAAUCAACCACCAAGAUCUAGGGGGCAACGAUCUCAUUUUUCCGACCAAAAACAUAAAAUUGAAAGCCCUGAAACUAAAAUUUCUUCACACUAAACAAUAGGAUAUUUCCAGAAAACUAAUCAAACCAUAGGACCAAAUUCAAGCAUGCUCAAGAAAAACAAAGGGGGAAACUCACCAAGCAUCGCAUGAGAAUGCCACCUUUUCACAAUUGGCGUAGGAACUUAGGGCAGAAGCAGUCGAAACUGAAUUCAAAUUCGAUGUUCUAUCUCGGUGAUUUCGGAGUUGGGGAUUGUUCGGGUGAUUUGGGAAAAAAAGGAACAGGGGAUUUCUCUCCUUUCGAGAACCAACCACGAAAGACGCGGAUAUUAAAGUGAGACGCGGCUGCCGCGGUGACUUUGCCAUUGAUACGCAAUGACGCUCGGCGUCCCUCGGCCAUUGGAUUAAGAUUCUACGGUCUGGGAGAUGGUUGGACCCCGGCUAAUGUACGUCAAUCUUCCACUCCGCUACCGAUCAAUUCUUUGACCUUUCCGUUUUUUCUCACCCUUCUGACUACCACUAUCGUUAUUGCAGAAUAGUUGGCCCCACAUGGUUUCUACCUAUGGAUGGCCGUAUGUAUUGGUGAGGGUUAAAGAGUGUGUGCGUUGACGAAUUCUGAACCAUCUCAAGAACGUGAGGAGCAAAACACCAAAUGGCUUUGAUAUACAGCAAGCCAUUUUUUCCCCCUUUUUUUACUGCCGACAUUUCCAUUUUCAUAUUUUUACCAUACGAAGACUCAGCUUUCUCAAAUAUCACUUUUUACCUAAAAAUAAAAUAUUAUAUAUAUUAUUAAUAUUAAAUAUUUUAGAUUAGUGGUUCAGGAUAAAUCCCAACUUAGUGAGUCACCUAUCAGGCUAAAUUAAAGAAUUUUCCGAAGAAAAAUAUUUUACAAAUACAUAAUUAAAUAUAGAAAAUAUAUAAUUUGCAUAGUUCAGUUAAUCAAAGGAUACUGUUGAUGAGAAAUAAUUUCACCGAAAAAAUAUUUUAUGAAUAUAUAAUUAAAUAUAGAAAAUAUAUAAUUUAUAUAGUUCAAUUAAUCAGAGGAAACUGUUGAUGAGAAAUAAUUAUCCAGUAUAAUUAUUUUUUUAUAUAUGAUAAACGAUGAAUAUAGAAUUCAAGCCUACAGCUCUACGAUUAACUACAUCAUAAAUGUGCAAACAAGGGAUAAAAUUGUCUCCAAAUCAAUAAUUAACUAAUGGUGUUAAUAAGGAAAAUAUUCUUCCUGGAUCAUAACUUAAUAUGUGGUUGUAUUGUUAGUAAAAUUUGAUCAACAAUCGAAUAAUAUACCAAUCCAAAAUAAUAGUUCUUAAAAUAUUUCGUCCAUAUCUCAUAGAUGAUAGGACGGGGAAUAUUUGGUAUAAAAUGCUCUCCCUUUGUCCCUUGUUUACAUAAAAAAGGAUAAUAAUAAUAACUAUGAUCAACUAUUGACUCGAGAUCAAUUACUAUUCACUAAAAUUUGGAAAAACUCACUUGAUUUUAAUUUUUGUAUAGGUUGAUCACAAAGUAUGCAUCGAGACCACCUUAAUUUCCGAGCACACACCCGAGUCCCCCUUUUAGCCAUAUCCGACUUCUCCCUUUUAGCCAUAUCCGACUUCUUCUUAGGCAUGUGGUGUUAAAUCGAGUCAGGUUGAUUAAGGUAUCAUCGAUAUCAUCUUGACGCCGGAAAGAGAGCUCGUGUUGUAAAAGCGUUAACCGUUGAAUAUCAUAUUUUGAUGAUAGAAACUAAUUGAUUGUGUUUAGAUGUUUAACUGCAUUUUGAGUGAUGCGCCGGAGGAGGAAUUGACGUUGCGCCGAAGGAGAUCACGUCAGGAUAUUGGAUGACAGAAGGCUUCGGACGUCGGGCAUCGGGCCAAGGAGAGCGGAAUUGCGCCAAGGAUAUCGGGGUUGCGGAGGUCAACCACCGAUUGGGCAACAAGCCGCAAGAGAGGACGAUGCGCUGAAGAAUCGGACGAAGCGCCAACCAAUGAUGUGCCGGGCAACAGAAUGUCGAUUCGCGUUGUAAUAAUUGUCUAAAUCGGAGUAGAGUUUUGGCUAAUAUGUGCAGGAUUAACUACAAUAACGAUGAAGACAUAAAGUGAAACAAAGUGCCGGAGUCAAGCGCAAAGGAUUCGUUGGGAGUUCGAGAGUUCUACGGAAGUCCGAAGGUUCGUCGGGAAUGCUGCUGGAACUAACCGAGAAUGAGUAGGGACCUUGUCGAAGGAUUUUUCGAAAGCUCGCCGGAAGGUUCGUGGGAAGUUCGCGUAGCUCACCGAGAAAGAUCGAAGCUUGCCGAAGAAGCUCGUUGGAACUCGCUAAGAUCAAAUCGUGAAGUCUAGGAGCUUGCCGGGAGUCCGUAGAAUGGUUUCCGAGAGUUCGCCGGAAGACCGCCGAAAGUUCGUUGGAAGCUCGCCGGAAGAAGUCUUGACUUGCGGACUUUGUAAUAGCUUAGGAAAUAUCUUUAAAUUCAUAGUUAGCACAUUAAUUAGGGUUAGGAUUAGGUGUUAAUCCUAUAACCCAAGUAGGGUCCAAUUGAGCCCGAGUUCGGAUUGGUUUGGGCCAAGUUUGGAGCCCAACUAGUGAGCUGAAAUAGUGUAGGCGGUGGCACCGUCCAGAACCCGAGAACUGAGCGGUGGCACCGCCCAGCACCCGAGAGGUCCGACGGUGGCACCGCCAGUACACUGUCUGUCAGACAUAGACAGGUGGUGGCACUACCAGCCUUAGAAUCCUCUUGGGGCCUAUAAAUACCUUUCAACUCUCAACUGAGAUUACAACUUUUUUCGAAGCAAUAGAUUAAGAUAAAGGUCUUAGAAAAGUCUUUCGCAAGUGUUGUCUUAAGUUGCUUAGAGUGUUCACCUUCGUCUUUCUUUUCAAAAAUUAUAAGAGUGUGAACCACUUGUAAAAGGUUGUAAGAGGGGUAUUUGUCCUUCCCCUUCAAAGAGAUUUGCUAGUGGAAGUUGGGAGCCUCAUUGAAGAAGGCUUCGCAAGUGGAUGUAGGUCAUUUGACCGAACCACUUUAAAUUGGCGUGUUCAUUGAAUGUGUGAGUACUUACCUUUUUGCAAUCAUUAUCUACACAGCAGCAAGUUUCCAGUUUUUACUUUACUCAAGUUACAAUCAAAGCGAAAUCUCCUUACAUUUUACGGAAUCAUUUUCGAACUUACAAGUUUUAAUUUGUUGCACUAAUUCAUCCCCCCCUCUUAGUGCCGCUCCGAUCCUAACAUCAACAUGGCAACUCGCUCAAUGAAUGCUCAACUGAGGGCACUGUGCCAUUGACCCAUAGUGUGCUAGUUAUAGCUGCCCUACAAGCCAAUCACACGAGUGAUGACAUGUGUGAUAUGCUAAGUAAUCUUUUUGUUUAUUAUUAUUAUUGAUAUUUUUUUAUUUUAUGUUAUAUAUUUUAUAUAUUUUGAUGUUCAUGGAUCUAUAUAAAGAGAAUCAGAUCGUGAUGAGAUCGUGGUAAUGAGAUGAAUUCGCCUUUAAAUAUAGACCAUAAAUAAUCUCGAUCAUAGGUUAUUCGAGAAGGACAUCGAGAUAAUCAAACAGACUAGUGUGCUAUAUAUCCGUCCAUAUGAUGGAGACAGUUGGUCUCAUAGUUGCUCGUGUGGCGAUACUAGAGAUAUAGUGCAGGUGCUCAAAUGGAGAAUGAGUUCAUUGAUUAAUCGGCUCACGGAAUGUUGGAUGGUUGAUAAUACCUUAUCAUCAAUAUUGAUUUUGUAGUCAUAGUUGUUUAUCUGGUCCUUAGAUUUGAAACACCAAGAAUGUCCUGUAUAAAUAUUAUACUCUUUGAUAUUGGAUUUAUAGGUUUGAGAGUUUUAGAUCUAGCAUAAUUGAUCAUCAGGAGUGACAGCCAAUCUUACGAGGGAAAUUGAGUAUUGAUAGAGGAUCAUCCAUUCUCGGUGUUAUGAAAAAAAUAUCAUAUGUAUUUUUGAUCAGACAAAUCAUUGGCUAGGGUUAUUCAGAUUGAGAGAGAAAGAGUUCUUCGGGAGAAUCUGAUUAGAGCGAGACUCGAGUAGAAAUCAUAUGGACCUAACAAUACUAUAUCUUGUAUACAGUCUUUAGGAUAUUAGAUGAAUGAGAGAAUAUAUAUAUAUAGUAACUAAGGAUAGACAUAUCCAAUGGAUUGGAUUUCCUUAUAUCAUUUGAGAACUACGACGUAAUGACCUAGUAUAUCUGUAAUCAAUAAGUCGAGUGAAUUAUUAUGAAGAUGAUGAUUUACUGAGUCAGAAAGAGUUUUAACAAGUAUGACUCAUGACCAGUUCGAUAUUAGACCUAGAAGGUCAUACACAUAUGAUAGGUGUUGUGACGAGUAGAGAUUUGGAUAUAAGAUAUCCGUUGGAGCCCCUAUCUUAUUGGAUAUCCAGUAAGCCUCUGAAUUAUUAGAUCAUGUGGAUAAUAUUCAAUAAGAAGCAAUGAGAGAUUAUUGGGUAGAGAUCCAUUAAUAUAAGAGGCUUCAAUAGUUGGAUGGAAAUCUAAUACCCAAUAGGGCAGGAUAUAUUAGGGUUAAGUUAAUAAAGACCUCUAUAAAUAGGAGGGAACUAAAUGGGCCAUUAGCUAGACCCUUUUUUGGCUGUCACCUCCUAUACUCCUCUCUCCUUCUUCUCCUCAGCCAAUAACCCUAAUUUGGGGGCAUGUGUGCAAGUCAUAGGUGUCAUACAAGCCAAUCACGUGAGUGAUGAUAUGUGUGACGUGACACAUAGUCUUUUUACUUAUUAUUAUUAUAAUAUUUUUUAUUUUAUAUUACUUAUCACAUAAAUAUAUUGUAAUGUCCAUGGAUUUAUGCAAUGAGAAUUAGAUCAUGAUGAGAUCAUGAUAAUGAGAUUGAUUCACUUUUAAACACAGAUCCUAAAUAAUCCUGGUCGUAUAGGAAAAUCUAGGGGCGAUAUCACAUGCGCAACAGAAGAACAUCGACCAACACUUGAGGCAUUGAGAUCAACCAUCAUCGAGGCAUCCAAGUUGACCAUCGCCCAAGACAUCCAAGUUGGCUAGCACCCAAGGCAUCUAGGUUGGAUAGCACUUAAGACAUCUAAGUCACCUAGCACCUAAGGUGAUUAGGUUGGCCGAUGGGGUAGAUUAGUCUAGCUGCCGGCUUGAUGUAGGCAAGUCAGUCCAAUCAUUUAGGGUGUUGCCUCUUCUAACACACUCAUCCCAAAUCAAGCGUCGGAGUUUGCCUGAUCCACCCAUGAACGUACUGAGCUAACACUUGGCUACACUUUCGAACCUAUUCGAAAGAGCUCCCAAAGUACACCUUCCAAGGGGAUAAAUGAUAGAAAAAAUAUCCUCUCCCAAUUGUAGCUCGACAUGUUAUAGUACUAUUGGUGAGACCAUGUUACUAAUAAGCGAUAUUGACACCAAUAUAAAAUAACAGUUCAUAGGAUAUGGAAUAUUUCAUCCAUACCAUACCAUAGAAUAUUUUCUCAUAUUAAUCCACUAAAAAAAUCACCUUAGGCAUAAUAAUCGAGGUUUGUUCACUAAAAUUAAUUUACUUUUAUUGAUAGUUGAGCAUCCAAAGGGAUCAUAUAAGAAAACAAACUCAACCUCGAUCUUUUUAUAGGUCGGUCACGGAGCACACAUCCGAGUCCACCCAUACCCUAAGCAAAUAUUUGAAUUUCUCUUUCGGCCAUGUUAAACUUUCUUUUAU